UUUUUUUUUCUUCUCCAGUUUUUUCAGUCUUCUAUUAAUUUGUUUCUUUAGUUUUUUUCUUUUUUCAUUGCUUUAGUUUGCUUCUUUUUUUUCUUUUUUUCAUUUCGACAUUUUUCAUACGUCAACAACAAUUUUCGAAUAUAUGUUUAACAUUUUUUCAGUACAAAUUGAACAUUCUCGUAAUACAUGGUCAACAUUUUUUUUAAAUAAUUCAAAUGUUUGAUUAACAUUUUUUAAAUACUUCCUCCGUUUCUAAAUGUAAGUCUUUGUAGAGAUUCCACUAUAAACCACAUACAGAUGUAUAUUGAUGUAUUUCAAGUUUAGAUUCAUCCAUUUUGCUCUGUAUGUAGUCCAUCUUGUGGGAUCUCUACAAAGACUUAUAUUUAUGAACGAAGGGAGUAUAAUAUUAACAUUUUUAACACAUGGUCAACAUUUUUUCUACAUUUAACAUUUUCCAAAUGCUUGAUAAACAUUUUUUAAAUACUUUUUCAAUAUUUUUUCAAUGCUUGAUUAACAUUUUAAUAUGUAUUAUGAUAAAAUCAUCAUUUAGUAAAUGGUGAACAUUUUAACAUUUGUCAAAUGCUUGAUCAACAUUUUAUAAAUAUUUAUUCAAACCUUAUUUCAAAUGCUUGAUUAACAUUUUACAUAUAAACUUAAAGUAUUUUAAAGUAUAAAAAGUUACAAAUUAUGCUAAAAAAUAAAAUCAGAAAUUGUAAAAAACAAAAGGAAAAGAGGCUGUGGCCUCCCGCGCACGUGCGCCGGCCUUACUCGGUCCCCCUUCAGCGAGUAGAAAGGCAGAGUCGCUGAAGGCGAGAUAUAGGGGCACCCCCAUCCCGCGCCAUGUUGGAGGUCGCUGCGUGGAUGAUGGAUCCCGUUUUCUAACAUGGCCGUGAAGUUCUCUCAACAGGCCGUGAAGAAACCAAGGAGUUCUCAAAUCCUUUUUUCAAAGAAAAGGAAGAUUCUCAAAGCGGUGGCGACUACAGGGAUCUCGUGCCCGCCCUCGCCGCGCAUUGGUGGACGGCGGCGGGCGGCGCGCCCGGCCGGUGCGGACCGCGGCUGCGCGUAGGGAAGCAGCAGGAGCAGCUUGCUCGAGCCGGCAUGCGGUCUGCCUGGUAAGCUCCAUCAAUCCACUCUGAAUCUGCUCUGUCCAGUUUGCAGUUCGUUAUUCUGGGUCGCGUCCAAACCCCAACUUAAUUGACUGAUUGCCAGUGACUUUUACUCUUCUGAAGUUAUUGAUGCGCUGCAGCAAUAGGCUGCUCCCUCCUCCGCCUGUUAGGUUGCCGUGGCGUCGAAGUGUAGUGUCCACAGACCACAGGGAUAAAAAGUUCAGUUGUUCCAAGUGUUACCUGACUUCUUGCUGAAGGAAAAACAUCAGCUAGUUACAACUUAAGCUGGUAUGCUGAGAUUUACUGUCAGUAGAUGAGUUCUGCCAGUUUAUAUGCCCACAUUGACAACGGAUGGUAGAAAACUAAAUUAGGCAAUUUGAGUAGAAGUAGCUGAAUGCGAGUGAGAACUGCAUAAACAUUCAGCAGGACAUUAGUUGGCAGCUCCAAGCUGAAAUUGGUACACCGGCAGGCACAAUAUUGAUGCCCACUGCGCCAGUUAAUAUCACAAAUCCACGAAAGAAACAAAAGAAGAGAAAAAACAACAAACAUACAACACAUCAAGAAUUCAAUACCCAUUUCAUUUUUAUUUAUCAUGCUAAGAUAAUCUGUAAUGCAACAAUCAUCAUACUGGUGCACUGGCGGGCGCAAUGUUGAUACCCAGAGCCUGUUUCCUCUGUGCCAAAAGAUCUUUGGCAUCUUUAGUGAGAACAGAAGAGAGAGGCUUCAGAGGAACCCCGUGGCAAUCACGAUCAGCAUUCAGCACCAGUGAAAAGCAUGCUACUCUCAAGCCCGUCUAUCACAUUUGAAGCCUCCAGUAAUGCGCCAAUGAUCUUGUGCCUGUCAAUCACUUCGACGUUUCCAUCAUGCUGCAGAAAUCCUGUAACCAUCUCACACAUGUAAGCUUCUGUAUCAUUAGGCACGCAGGGGUGGCGUACAUGUCCUCCACAACCUUCUUAAGCUUCACCAGUCUUUUGGCAGGGUAUCGGAAGCAGAGGAAGAGAGGCAUUUUUUUCAUAUGGAACGGCGCCGUCCUAGCACAAAGCACUCAGGUGUACUGUCCACAGGGAUAAAAAGCUCAGUUAUUUCAAGUGGUACCUGAACAUGCACAUGGGAUUUGCGCUAUGUUAGUAUGAUGCGUAUAGCUAACUUCUGCUCAGUGCGACCGUGACUCCAUACAGAUGCAGUUACAUGGACAACAAGAUAAACUGCAUAAUGAGAAAAUAGAUCUCUUGCCAAAAGAACAAAUCGAAUAGUAAAAAAUAAAGCAAGUGAGCUGAAGUUUAGUGUCAAAAAAUGAAUUCUGUCAGUUAAUAUGUCUAACAUUGGGAAGUCACAAAUUAUACAAGUAUGAAUAGAAGAAGUGGCACAUGAGUCAGAAACUCAGAAUUGCAUAGCCAUUCAGCCAGACAUUUUUUGGCUGCUCCAAGCUGAACUUGUAUACCAUCAGGUGCAACGUUGAUAUGCAUAUUUUAGAGCAAGACUUAGAUCUUGCCAUGACGGUGAAGAUGGAUUGAAAUCAUAAAGGUCCGAUCUCAAGUUUUUAGAUAAUGAAAGGAUUACACUCCCGGUCUCUAGAUCAGGAGGUGCACACAUUACAUUAUUACAAAUGUCGCAGAAAUCCACAAAGGACAGAAACGAAAAAAACAGCAAUCAUACAACACACAAAGAAUGAAAUUCCUGUUUCAAUAUUUUUUAACAUACUGAGAUACUCCAUGAUGCAACAAUCAUGGUACUGGUGUACCGGCAGGCACAUUGUUGAUGCCAAGUGCUUGUUUCCUCUGUGUCAAAAGAUCUUCGGCAUUUUUAGCGAGAACUUUAGAGAAAGGCCUUAGAGGAACCCCAUAGCAGUCAGGAUCGACUCCAGAGAAAAGAAUGCUGUUCUCAAGGCCCACCAUCAUCUCUGAAGCCUUCAGUAAUGUGCCAACGAUAUUGUGCUGGUCGAUCACUCUGACAUUUCCAUCAUCCUUCAUGAAAUCUAUAACCAUCUGGCAAGUAAGCUUCUGUAUCGCGAGGCACGCAGGGGUGGCGUACAUGUUGUCCGCCAUCCUUUUGAGCCUCACCACUAACUCUUCCAGGGUAUCCGCCGGCCUCUGCGACAUUAAGAUUGGUCUAAGACUAAGAUUGGAGUUUGCACGAAUCACUGUGAUGAGUGAUAACAGCGGUGCUUGUAGCCUCCUGUGCUUGCUAUGGCUCUGCUCGUCUUGUUGUACAGGAAGCAAUUGUCUGAGUACCUGCAAUGAUAUAUAUACAAAUAAUUUUCAUCUCAACAAAGUUCAGUGAGGUGGAUUUUGUACAUGAAAGGGUGGAUACUUGAGUUUAGGCUUACCUAAUUACCUAUUCAAAACAUUGUAUUUUUUUUCUUCAUAUGUAUCAUGUUGUAACUUAAGCACCUAGAAAAACUCAUGCAAAGAUGACAGUGUUCUACUUUAUUUUAACAAUGUAGCAGUAACAGCAACUAUAUAUGUCUUUCUUGUACACGACAAACAAGAUCAUUUUUUUGCAUAAAAUUUUGUAGUAUUUCAUGUUACAUUAAAAUGCAUGUCCACAUUGUUUUGAGAAUUACUUAAGAUGCAUCAGGAUAAAGCCUAAACUCAAGCACCCAUCCUUGCAUGUACAUUUAUUUUUCUCAAAAGUUUGUUGCCAAAAUUUUGUGGCCUGUAAUAGGUGUGUUCAGGCAUACCUUCCGUAAAGUUGGUUCCUUGACAUAGUUGCUCAAAUGCUUCAAGAUGACUGCUGCACUAAUACGGCAUGCAAUGCUGAUCUCUAUUUUCACAGUAUCUGUUGCACUUAUUUUGCAGUUGAUGGUCUUGAUGUCGGUGUCGAGUAAUUCAGUAAGAUUAUUGACAUCAUCAUUACAUCCUGUGAAACUCUUGAUAGCCUCUGAAUCACUGGACAGCAUGGCCAAUGUUGCACCAGCCUGUUCUUUGAGCCGGCUUGCAGUUUCCUUGGCUUCUUUCAUCUUCUUUUGCACAUGACUUGUAGUCUGGUGCUCGAUCUUCCUUUUCUCAUCUUUCAGAUAAUCUUCCAUCCAAUCUGCAGUAAGGAAGAUGUGCAGUGCCCUCUUGAUAAGUUCUUCUGCAGAAGUACAUGCUGGAUGAUGCAAGACUAAUUGUGUCAGAACCUCUAUAGCUCUCAUCUGUAACUCUAUGAUACCAUCAUUGCUCUUCAUAUCCAUGUCUAGAACGGCCUCCAAGUUUUUGACUGCAUCAUUAUCAUCUGCAAUUUGCUUGCACAUGUCUUGGCCGGUGCUUCCUGAAGAACCCAUGAGCCGGCUCACCACUUUCAGUGAUCCAUCUACUACCUUGGUCCAUGCAGCGCUGUUCUUGAUAUCUUCUGUUAAUUUGUCAGAGCUGACGGGUGCUACUAUUUUUGAAAGAAGAUCCUUGGUGUUGUAUAUCAAUGUGCAGUUAUGUCUGUCGUGAGCUAGGUUCUCUAGAAUUCUCAGGCCUGGCAAAACCAAAUCCUGAUCAGUUCCUUGUGGAGCAACAAAUGUCAAAGAGAGAGUUUCUUGAUCGAAGAGGGAGGAUAUGCAUUCCAAUGCUCCUGGAAAGUGAGCGAGGUUGAUGUCACCAGCGAGAUGCUCCAUAAUCCUCACUGCAUGCCAUCUCAUCUCUCGCUCUUCUGGGCUUCUCCAUGCAAGGGUUCCAAUCAGCUUCUGUAUUCUGUGUCUUGGUGACCUGAUCAGCAGCCGUCUUAUAUGUGAUGGUAUAUCCUUAUCAAUCAGCAUAGUUAGUACCCUUCCUCCAUCCGCAUAGUCCUCAGGUAAGCUGGAAUCCAGCAAGCUAGCACCAUAUGUGAUCAAAUUCCAGCUCGUUGCAGACGCGGGGCUAAUUACACACAUCUGCUUUGUUUUGUGCAAAUAUGCAUCGAUGACCUGAAUGUUGAUAUCAUGCUGUCCGCUAACAUUAUACGAGAGACCAAUAUCAGCAAAGUUUUGAAUCCAGAUCCACAUCAUGGAUAUUAGGCUGUGAUAAUAAGUUACGUUGUAGAAUAAUACUAGCGCCCGCUUCAAAUUUGCUCCAAUUGCCUCUCCGUGCCUGAUGGCGUGGCUAUGCUUUGCUGCACGAGCACGACCCAUCGAUAGAAAAAGGCACGCACAAGGAACAACCGUAGCGAGGACCUCCACGGAAGAUAUCACGGCAAGAGAAAUAUGUAUUAUUCUUGAUACGAGUUUUUGUAUUUGUUUCAACGGGGUAUGUCCAUGACGUUGCUUUUCGCCCUGAGAUAAGACAAGCCAAAACUCAAUUACAUCGAAUCGAGCAUCUCCCGUCGCGUCGAUUAUCCUGUGUUGUUCCAAUUAGAGAGGACAUUAGGUCAAUAGGAACACGAAGACUAUUAAACAAAUCUCUACCUAAUAAUAAAGCAAAUUGGGUUUCGGCCGUCCGUCAUGCACUUUUGCAGAAAACCCCUUGCAUUUUCUAUGAAUUAACCCGCAGUACACACUUAAAUCAUAACCGAACCGUUAUUUACAUUUUUAUGGAAACCCUCCUGACGCAUUAGAUAAUUCACCCGCCGAUCAUAUAUAAGUCAAACACAUGUUUUUUCUAAAUUAUCCAUAUCUUUUAAACCGUAACUCCGAUUUUAACAUGUUAUAUAUGAAAAUUGAUUAGAAAAAUGUGUAGAAUCUGAAUAUGAUGUUAUUUUGUUUGUUAAAUAUUUUUUAAAUAUUAUUUCGAAAGAUAUUUAAGUUAAACAAAUAUUUUUCUUAAUUAUCCAUAUCUAUUAAACCGUAACUCCGAUUUUAACAUGUUAUAUAUGAAAUUUGAAUAGAAAAAUAUGUAGAGUUUAAAUAUGAUGUUAUUUUUACCUAUUAAAUAUUUUAAAAAAAUAUUUUAAAAGCAAAUUUGUAACCUAUAGGGCACGUUCGUUUUUCUUUCGUACCUCGACGAUCUGGAUUGCAAAUAAACAACCACUAAAAUCAUAAAGAGACGAAAGAAAACAUCGAUAACCACACAUGAGCACUUUGGUUUGUGUGAAAACUGGCAGGGGAAAAACAACAUUCAAACACACUUUGGUUUGUGUGAACACUGAGACCACUGAAGGUGAGAAGGAGGAUAAGCGGCAACACAAAAAUGAUGCCUCGCUAAAAUAAAGGGCAUGAACAUAUUAUGGUUAUUGGGUUAAGAGUGUGUGUUAUUUUUUUCUCCCGUUGCAACGCACGGGCUCUUUUGCUAGUUAGAAUAAAGUAAGGACAUGUACAAUGGUUGAUAAGGUAGUCUUAUCUUAAAUCUUGCAUGUAAUUUAGAGAUGACAAAAAAACAUGUACAAAGGGUUAUCUCUUAGCCUUAUCUUCAAUAACUAAUAAUUCCUAAAAACAUGAUGAGACAUAUUAUGCUAAGAGAUCAUCCCUUGUCUUCUUUUAAAUAAGAGAAGACAAGCCUUUUAUUAUGACUUCUCUCUCCUCCACCUUAUCAUCUAUCCUACGUGGCACUCCUAAGAUAGCACCAUUGUACAAAUUGGCCGAGCCGACCGACAGGCGACACCUCGUGUCUUCUGUGGGACCCACACGACCGCUCACGACCCAUCCUUAUCCCCUUUCCCGACAAACCAAUUCCCCACCACAACUAUCUCGGCCACUCUUCCCACACAUGCGCAAAGUAGUCAUACAUCUUCCGCCACACAUUUAGUUUUGUGAUUCGUGCUAGCUAUGGCCCACACACAUGUAUAUUAUUGGCUCUUUUCACUAUUUUAACCCCUUUAGAAAACUUUCGCACAAAAUAAACUCCACACCAAAUUAUUUCACGAUCUGACCCUUUUGGCAACGUCACAAGCCGUGGCGUUUCUUCUCUAUUUGAAAACGCUGAAGUAGCUAGCGUUGCUGGCCUGGCCAGGACGCUACGUAGCAGGACAGAAACGCCAAAGUAUCUCGCGUUGCUGGAAACGCCAAGUGUGGCUGGCGUUGGUGCCCAUGCAAGAAACGCCAUGGGUGUUGGCGUUGCAAGUAGCUUGCUCAUAUUGUCAUUUAUUUAUGAAGUGAAGAAACGCUGGCUAGUUCGGCGUUUCCAAAUAGAGAAGAAACGCCAUGGUUUGUAGCGUUACCAAAAGGGUCAGAUUGUGAAAUAGUUUUGUGUGAAGUUUAUUUUGUGCAAAAGUUUUUUAAAUAGGUCAAAAUAGUGAAAAAGGCCUAUAUUAUUUGUACUGGUUUUUCAGAUUCUGGUAUUUCUAUUUAGUCAAAUCAACAGUCAGUUUGAUGAGCCCCACAGUACUGCUUUUGUCGGUGAGUGACCGACACUACCCAUACAUCUCUCCCCUCUCUCCCUCCCAGAUAAAUCUAAAGACUUGAUUUAAAUCAUUCAUAUUUUUUAAAAUAUAAGUUCGUUUGUGAAAUAAUUUAUAUAUUUGAACUCCUAGCGCGAAGACCUUUAGAACUAGACCAAUCUUGAAUACAUUUUAAACAUGUUUAAAAUUUGACGUUUCACAUUUCAUAUGUAAACUAAACCUAUUUCACUAGAAAUAUAUGAACUUGGGAAGAUGAUUGCUUGUAAAUGUCUAACAGUUUAUUCCGAAAGAGUGAGAUAUGUUUUUCAAAAAUGUGCAGUUGAAAUAGAUGUCAUUUAAAAAAACAGUGAAAUGUGGGUUCUUAAAUAUGUUAUUUAUGAUUUUUUUAGUAAUAGAAUAUGUUAUUACAAUUUUUUUUGAAAAAGUGAAAUAUACUAUAUAAAAUGACUGAAAUCAUUUUUAAAGUGUGUCAAAUAAGGUUAAAAUGUGCGAAAUAUGUUAUUCAUGAAUCUUUUUUUGAAAUGAGUGGAAUAUGUUAUAAAAUAUUUUCUGGAAUUAUUGAAAUGAGUGAAAAAUGUUAAAUGAAAUGAGUGGAAUCUAUUUCUAAAUUUGUGAAACCUGAUUCAAAAUGAGUGAAAUAUGUUUUUAGAAAAUCUUUUUUGAAAUGAGUGGAAUAUGUUGUCAAAAAAUAUGUGAAGUUGGUAUUUUCAAACUCGUUUAAAAUAUAUUCAAUGGCGGUCUUGUUUUAAAGGUCUAUUCGUCAUGAUUUCAAAUAUGUAAAAAGUUUCAAAAAUGAAUUUUUAGCUAAAAAGUUAUGAGCCAUUCAAAAUGAUAUAGGAAAAAUAAAUGCAAGUCUUUAGUUGAAGAGGGAAUCUCUAUGCAUGCAUGCAACCCUUCUCUUAGUUGAUACUACAUCUUUGGUGGGUGCGGCGGUUGCAAGAUACUACAUCUUUUGUUGAUCCGGCGCGUUGGCAUUAUUUCUCUUAGUUUUCUCUUGUAUUCUCUUUCGGACGUGAUUGUGUUGUUUGCCUCAGUGAUGAACUCACAGUUGUAUCGGGUGACUCCUAUAUUAAUAUAGCAGGGCGAAAGCCUAUUUCAAGGUGAUGUGCUCAGGUUGAGCAGAAUUGCCGAGGGUUUUGUGUAGCUGAAAGGCUACCGGAGGUGGUGCUGCUUACGUUGAUUUUCAUCUCGUUUCCAUGGACGCCUUCGAAUCCAUCUCGCAUUGCCUAGCAGUUGUCUUAGCACUGAAGGUUUGAAGAUCGUAGCCAUUCAAGAAACCAUGCAUAUGGACUUUGCCCUCUCGGAGCUGGAACGGUUGAGCUCCCACCUGUUUGCCUGGCAUUGGCUCCCUUCUAGUGGGACCGCAAGACAUUCGGGUGGCAUCUUUUUAGGCUUGAAGGAUGCCACCUUCGAAUUAGAUAGCAUGGACCGGGGUGAGUUCUUUGUGAGCAUGGAGAUGUAUGAGUGAGCGCUCAAUUUCAAAUGUGAGAUUGUAGUGGUGUACGGCCUAGCGGACCACUAGCGGUCCGAGUCUUUCCUCGCCGAGUUGCGACGGAAGGUCUUCGGUGCUGACCUUCCGGAGGUUGUGUGAGGUGACUUUAACCUCACCCGCUCGGCCGAGGAAAAAAACAAUAACCUCAUCAACUUCCCUCGGAUGCAGCUCUUCAACGACUACAUUGCGGAUCUCAGACACCGAGAAUUAGAUAGGGUUGGUGCCAGGUUCACCUGGACCAAUCGCCAAGCCGACCUGACACUAUCUGUGUUAGAUCGUGUCCUUGUGUCCCCGGGUGUGGAGCUUCGCUGCCCUCUCGCCUCCCUUCGGGCCAUAACCAGGGCCGGUUCGGAUCAUGUCCCCUUGCUCCUCUACUCGGAGAACGACCUUCCCCAUCCCCCUGUGGUUCCGGUUCGAGUCCUACUGGCUUAACCAGGAUGGCUUAGUUGCGGCCAUCCAAGUUCGAUGGUUGGAGGCCCGGGCGUCUCCGCCCCAGGCCAUCUCGGCCUUUAACACCUAGCAUUUCUAUGCCAAGCAUGCACGCCAAUUUAUGAAGGGGUGGGCGGCCAACCUUGGCUGUGACUUGCCAAAGCGCAAGAAAGCACUGCUUGACGCCAUCCAGAUGCUUGACCUCCGUGCGGACACUGUAGGUCUCUCCGCUAAGGAAUGGCUGCUCCAAUACGACAUAGUAGACUAGUUGUCGAUCAUCUACACGGACGAGGAGGCCUUUGGUGCUAACGGGGUACCCAAAAGUGGGUCCUCAAAGGUGAUGCCAAUACGGUGUACUUCCAGGCCAUAACGAACGGCCGGAGACGCAUGAACACCAUCCCUCUCCUUUGGGAUGGUGACCAUCUCCUCCAGCAGCCGGUUGACAUUCGUGCCCACGUUGAUGGCUUCUAUAAUGUGUUCUUCUCAGCCUACCCUCGGGGAGGGGUAACCUUGGCCCCGGAUAUUUGGGCCGCUCACCGGCGUGUGUUGACGACCGACAACGAGGCCCUUAUGGCCCCAUUUUCUAAGGUGGAGGUCUGGAUGGCCAUCAAAGGCAUGAAUCCGACAUCCGCCCCAGGGCUUGAUGGCCUUCCAAUGAAGUUCUUCCAAACUUUCUGGGACGUCGUCAAACCCAAGGUGAUGGCGAUCUUUGAGGAGUUCUACAUGGGUCCAUUGACCUGGCGCGGCUUAACUAUGGGAUCAUCACUCCCAUUCCCAAAGUGCCCGGGGCCUCAGACAUUUGUCAAUUCCGCCCAAUCACGGUGACCAAUGUGAUCUUCCGCAUUCUGGCGAAGGGGUAUGCCAAUAGGGUGACCAAGUUGGCGGACCAAAUCACCCCCGAAUCAGUCGGCCUUCAUUAGAGGCUAACACAUUCUUGAUGGGGUGUUGGUGUUUCAUGAAGCCCUUCAUGAGGUAUGCUCAAGGAAACUACAAGCGGUAUUUCUGAAGGCCGUCUUCCAUAAGGCAUCCACUGGCCCUUCCUGUGGGAGGUGCUCCUCCGUAAGGGCUUCGACGAUAGAUGGGUUACACGCGUGAUGCAAAUGGUCUCUAGCGGCCGCACUGCGGUUAACAUCGACGAGGAAAUUGGGCCCUUCUUCCCCACCUUAUGUGGGGUUAGACAGGGUGACCCCUUCUCCUUGUUCUUGUUUAACAUGGUUGCCGAGGCCUUGGCCACCAUCCUUGACAUAGCUAGGGCAGCGGGCCAUAUCCACAGUGUGGUGCCCCAUCUAUAGCUUCCCUGAGACCCUUGAUCAUGAGAUCGCCAAAUAUCAGGCGCGCUUCUUCUGGGCCGGCGAGGGUGAUAAGCAAAAAUACCAUAUGGUUAGUUGGCUGGACAGUUGCAAACCCCGUAACCAGGAUGGGCUAGGGAUCAUGUCGUCUAAACGCAUGAACAUGGCCCCGCUGACUCGCUGGUUGUGGCGGAUUGCGAAUGGGGAAGGCGGCCUUUGGCUUGACAUCAUUCGGAGCAAGUACCUUCAUGGUCAACCGCUCGGCUUCUGCCAAUGGUCCAGAGGGUCGCAGUUCUGGCAGUCCAUCAUUUAGCUGCUCCCGGUCCUCCGUACUGGAACCUCCAUUGAGGUAGGCUCGGGCUCUGCUACCCUAUUCUGGUUUGAUAGGCGGGUUGGUGCUCACCCCUUCGCUACUCGUUUCCCAGAGCUGUUUGCCAUCGCAAUGGAGCCCAGGAUCUCAGUCGAGAUGGCCCUUAUUGACUUAGGGCAACUCACGUUCCGGCUGCCAUUUGGGCCCGCGAAACUUGGGGCAUGGCAGGACCUCCUUGACUGCAUAGCGCUGCACUCUCCGAUCGUGGAUCUGCCGAAUGAUAGCAUCUCCUGGCACUUGGAGCCAUCUGGCCGGUUCUCCACCAAGUCCUUAUACCUGGCCAUUGCGGCUGCUCCGGCCCUAGCGCCCUGACCCAGAUGUGGGUGCUUAGACUGCCAUUGAAGAUUAGGAUCUUCCUCUUGCAAUGGAUUCGGGGACGGGCCCCCUCGGGCAUGUAGGUGCUCAAGCGGAAUAGCCCCGACGAUGGGAUUUUUUCCUUUAUGUGGGGUGGCGGAGGACUCAAACCACAUCUUCUUCAUGUGUGUAUCCGCCCAAUUCCUUUAUAUCUGCUUCCGCGAAGCGGUUGGCGGUCGUUCGUGCAACAACAACUUCCCCGGCCUCUUUGUGGAAAUCCAGGCCACCCCUUAGCGUGACCGCCACGCUAGGUGGCUAUGUAUUGGGUUUCUGGCUUGGACUCUUUGGACCAUGCGCAAUAAACUUGUCAUCCAGCGUGUUCCUCUUUGGCAUGCUACUGACAUGAUUUUCAAAAUGUGUGGUUACUUGCAGCUUUAGCGGCCGCUUAGCCGGCCCCAGGAUCGCCACGUCAUCAACAACAUCAUUGCAGAUCUUCGCGCGACGACUCUCCACUUGGCGCCACCGCUUCCCCCACCACCGUCUGAGCCAGAUUAGCCGCCUCGCAGCAUGUGCUGCCGCUGUUCUUGUCUUUUCAUCUUUGUUUUAGGGCUUGUUGAGCUGUGCCCUCAGCAGAACCCUGGAUACUCCGCGUNNNNNNNNNNNNNNNNNNNNNNNNNNNNNNNNNNNNNNNNNNNNNNNNNNNNNNNNNNNNNNNNNNNNNNNNNNNNNNNNNNNNNNNNNNNNNNNNNNNNNNNNNNNNNNNNNNNNNNNNNNNNNNNNNNNNNNNNNNNNNNNNNNNNNNNNNNNNNNNNNNNNNNNNNNNNNNNNNNNNNNNNNNNNNNNNNNNNNNNNNNNNNNNNNNNGGGGGGGUGAAACAUUUGUCGAAUCUUGUCGCUCUGGUGGUUUGGUUUACAUAUAGAGCGGGGCGAAAGCCUUUUUUGGUAAGGUUUGAAGAUUCCAGAGGUAGAGCAGUUGUACUUUUAUGAUUUGGGUGGUGGUAUUACAAGAUUAUGGGGUGGAUUGGAGGGGAUUUUGACUUGUAGGCGAUUUAUUCCCCAUCAAUCCCUGCCAAUUCCCUCCAUCUCCCUCGCAACCGAACUAGCCCUAUAUGUUUUUUAGAAAAGGAGGAUGUACCCCCGACCUCUGCAUCUGGACGAUGCAUAUAGUCAUUUUAUUUAUUAUUCGCAAAGACCAUACAAGGUGAUACAUCAAUAAGCCUGAAGCCAUCAUCUUGGCAACAUUGUUGCUACUCCUAUCCCCUUGAUGAAGGUGUGCCGAAUGUCCGGGCUAAUACCAAACAGACAUCGCACCAAAAACUGACAUCUAAAGCCGGAUGCCCAUCCAGGCCACUACCUGGAUUGGGUCACACACCGGUCUAGCACACUCCCAAUGAGCACCGCACGCUGCGAGGGUCUUCUCCUUCAUCUUCCAUCGACCCAUCCUCAGAGCAGAAUUGAUGCACCGACCUUGCCAGGCCUCUCUGUCAUCGCCGCCAUGAUGACGCCAGACAGUUUCCUCCUCCUGCGCGAGUCCAUCUCCGCGCAUCGGACGCCGAAUCUCCACUGCGCCAUGCUGCCGAGAUCUGUCGCCAUCAAUGCAUAAGCUGAGGCACCGCUCCCCCAAAGAAGCCUUCCACUGGUCCCUCGGCCCGUGUACACCUCCAAGAAUGACGCCCCCAAGAGGGAAACGACACUAGAGCGCCGCCGCCAUCCGAUCUAAUGAUCUAGGGUUUCCCCCGGAGGUAGCAGAGAGUGGCCUUGAACUUCUCCACGACGAUGCCUUUAAGAAGGGAACGACGCAGACAGCGCCACCACCGUCGGCCUUGGGAGCUAGCUGAGAGCAGGUUUUCACCCGGAUAUGUUCAAAGAGCCUCCCUCAAGCAUGUCGUGCACGGUCUGCCUCCAUCUGUGCCGGGGCCUGGAUGAAAAGGAUCAAGGCCGCCGCUGCCUAACCGGUCAUGUGACCACCACGAUACCUACAGCCAAUGCCACCACCCAGCCCGCGUGCUGAGCCGCAGCACCGUGCCAUACCAGAUCCGGCAAACGGCAUGCAUGUCGAGCCUAAAUAUCACCCCCACCACCCGCGCCAGCCGCGGCCUGCGAGGACCCAGAUCAGGCCCGCACGGGCGGCCAAGACCGCAACUGCACGCCCGCGAUGGAGCUCCCAUCGUGGCGACACCGUGCCACGCGCCAGCGACCACCGCUGCCAUGAUCGAGGAAGUCGCCGUGAAGACGAGCUCCAGACAGUCACCGGCCGCUUGAGAUCUCCCCAUCAAAAGAGCAGCUGACAAGGAGCACGAGCCCUGCUGCCGCCGGCUCCGCACAGGCUUUGCCUGACGGAGGCCACCGGCGACGGCGAGGGGGUGGAUGGGAUGGGUGGGGCGAAGAGGGAGUAGAUGGGAUCUAGCGCCUAUAAAAUGGGAGAGAUUUUCACUUCCUCGCGUUUGCACCAACUAGAGAUGCUUACGGCCGUUUUAAUGUGAGUACCAAGAUAAACAUGAUCCUCAAAAAAAUUUAAAUGAGUAUCAAGAUAUUUUUUGAUGCGUGGUUCCACCACACACCAAGCUUGAUCCUUAAUAAACGGGGAAAAACCCCUGUGCAUCACCUGUCAAUUCUAGAAAUUGAACUCGGGUCGUUAGGCUGAACAACCGCAUACCCAACCACAAGCCCUUAUAUGUAUUGAUGUCUAUUCAUCUGAGGAAAAGAUUGACAUCUUUUACAAAGAAAAGUAGCACUAAUCUAGACGCAGAGAGGAAGGGUGACGGGUGUGCCGGUACUGCGCAAUUUUUCACUUUGCUAACACGGGGUAUUGCGCGUCGGCGGUGCCGACACACGAGGGCAGUUGUGAGGCUGCUGGCCAGGUUUGUCACAUCGCCGUUGAGGUGCCAGCCCAAGCUUUCCCUCCAUCACUCGAUGUUGCGUGCAGAUUUUUUGCCGAGGAAGGUACCCGAGAUCCACAGCCAGCGAGGGUUGUGUGCGUGUCACCAGCGAGGCCAUGAGCCGCAGACGCGUCACCACAGAGGCUGCGCUGUAUGUGUCACCAGUGAGGCUAUGAGCCGUGGAUGCGUCACCGGGGAGACCGCAAGAAGUUGAGACCAACCACGGGGGUGGGGGUAUGGUGGGAGCUACGACCGCGACGCCACUCUUUGGUGAGUCCCAAGCGAAGCUACGACCAUCCUGCUCCACUGAUGCAUUUAGCACACGUCGACGCUGGAAACAACGGCACGCGAAGCUACGAUGGCGGCACGGAUGAGGCAGCGAGAUGCUUCGACCACAUAACAUAGAUGCUGGAACCGGCGACAAGAAAGUUUUGUCGUUGACAAGCGAAGAUGCGUGAGGCGGCGAGAUGUUGCAACCAGCUCGCGCGUUAGAGAGUGCAAAUCCUGGAACCAGCGAUGACGACAAGCGAAAAUGCGUCGAGGUGGGCGAGAUGCUGCAACCAGCUUGCGUGUUUGCUGGAACCAGAGAGUGCAUGCUGGAAUCAGUGAUGGGGAGCACCGGUGAUGCGGCUGCGGGGAGAUGGACGGCCUAGGCGACUCUCAUCUGGUGGCUCCGACCUAAUACAAAAUUUUGAAUUCCUAUCACAUUCUUUUCUUUUCCAUAUUUUGAGUUCAAGUGACCUUAUUCAUCUACUCUCAUCUAUCUAUAUCUAUGUCUAUAUCUCUACCUAAUAUUAAAGGGAGGAGACUUUUAUAUUUUUCCUCUUGCCACCCAUUUAUAUCCGUUUAUUUUUUGUUAACCAUAAAGAUUGAUGGCUGGGACUUAAAAGUAGAUCUAUGUAAUAGUUUAAGACUAGUAACAAUGAGAGUAACUUAAUUAGUAACAUCACACAUUUCAAUACAAGAUUACUUAUGUGGUAGCUAAUUAAUGAGGAGAGAGGGUUUUUUGGUAACUUAGGUAGUUACUGUAACAUCACACAUUUCAAGGCAUAAUGAGUCUAUAGCCUAAUAAAUGAACUCUUUCAUGAUACCACUGAUAUGUUACUACCCACUAUGGAGGUAGUAACAUAGACUGGUAACAUCGGCAAGUUACUACUCUAUGUUACUCCCCACUGUGAGCAGUCUAAAAGAACUAUCGAAUGAUCCGCUCCUGCACGAUCUCAACCAGCAGCCGCCUAAUACACCUAUUUCACGGAACGAUCUAUCGAUUAUCUAUCCCUGAAAACCAAGAAACUGUGCAUUCAUCCCUUAACGCAAAAAAUCAUGCCAAGGCCGACACGUGACCACUCGUGAAGCUAAAGGAAGCCUCUGGUCCAUGCGAUGCCGAUCAGAGCUCAAACUCCUAUCCGAUCCCUACUUCCUGCUCUUCCACCUCCCUCGAUAAAGAAGGAUCGCCAAGGCUCUCCUCCCAAGUGCUGGCAACUUUGAGCAAUCGUCCCGUACCUCCCUGCAUUGCAUCUGACCCUACCUCUUGUUUCCGCCUGCGCUUUCCUUGCUUGUCGGGGGAGGGGGAUGCAGCCGACGUGGUCGAGCGCGUAGUGGGAGACGAGCAGUGCCUUAGCCAUGGUUGUAGCUGCAUGGGGAAGAGCGGUAGUGGAGGUGUCAGCGCUGGGAGUGAUGGUGCGGCUCAGCGUGUCCAUCAUCAGCUCGUCUUGACGAUGUGCUUCGUUGCUGAUGGCUCCAGCUCCCUACACAACAUGCCAUCUUGGCGGAACUACUGCAUGUACAACGCUUGGUGCUCUGAAUUUGGUACGAGUAAGAACCAGCAGCCACCCCGCAUCACAAGAUGCCUCGCCACCUCUGACGAAAUAGAAGUGGGAGGAUACUGGUGUACGACUUGGGGCGCGGGGCUGCCCAUCAUGUCGAACUCUCUCCCUCACGAACACAGGAGGCAGCGAUGACUCAGAGAUCUAGCAAGUGACAACGGCUUCAACCUCUAUAGGCACUGCCUCUCCCCCUCUGUUUCCUCUCUAUCUACCUCGUUGGACUUGGCAACGACCAACGGCGUGGAGAGGGAUGCAGGAGAACUAGCAGCAAGUAGCACUUAGUGGAGCUGGGCCACUACAUGUGUUGCACAACCACAAUACAUGCCCUCUUGUGACCGUUGGGCCCUUCGACCGGUAGCCGUAAGAGGACGACACUGCCCUGGUGACCCUGUACCUGGGUAGAGUUUGUGUUGGGAUCCCCUCCCGUACCCCCGCGUCACCUCCCUGAGCAGGGCGACCAAGGCGGCCCCUCCUCCCUCGCCGUCUAUCGCUCUGACAUCCCUUCCCCUCCUGCCACUACCGCCGGCUAGUGUGGUCGCGUGUUGCCCGCAUGGCACUAUUGCGAGGCCGGCGGUGGCGGCCCCUUCAUCUUCCCAUCGUGGAAAACCGGCUAGGGCGGGUGUGCUCCGGCAGCGGUGUGACUCGGCGGGCAGCGCUCCAGUGCAAAUCGGGCGGAGGCGCAGCCGCUUGCCGACUGGUGGCGGGUGCUGGCCUGCGGCGCCCGGAAAGCCUAGAUAUGGGCCCUUUGGGCCGCUCUAGGUCAGAGCGGGCCGGUUUGGAUUCCGGCGGGUCAUUUCCGGCUGGUUUGUUGAGCUAUGGGUGAUGGGGGCGACAACUACUGUGCUACUUGUGCUGGAGCGCAGCGGCGGGAGCUUAGCGGGACCGAUUUGGGCGCGGCUAGGCAGUUGGCCUGGCGUGCUCCUGCUCCUGCGUAUAUUCUGCUACCGCAUGAGCCGAUGGAGGUUGUCCCCUCCCACGUGGCUACAGUAUUGCCUGUCCCUGUCUACGGUGGUUUCGUUUUAGUCCGGCAGCCCCGUAGCAUUUGCCGUGGUGAGAUAGAUGGUGGCAUCCUCAUGAUUGCGUUGGCGCAUGUUGCUGGAUGGUAGGUGGGGUGGAGCCGACGAUUGCUCCUGGAUAGUGGUGUGGGACGUAGGGAGAAAUCUCUAUCGGGUCUGGCCAGCACCACGCGGUGACAUCUGUGAGCGCCGCCAUCCUUAUUGAAGGGCAUCGGGUGUACCUCUCCCCCACUCACCUCUGUGUACCGAGAGAAAUCCUAGGACUCGUUCUUGCAGCAGCGUCAUUGUUGUCGCAGUACUUCUUGAAGGUGUUGCUUCCUAAGCGGCAACUCAAUGGCACAGGAGUGUGGUGAAAUUCUCCGGUGGGCGCAACAAUUCGGUGGCAUAGGAGUGUUGCGGAAUUCUUUGGUGGGUGCGGCGGUUGCGAGAUACUACAUCUUUUGUUGAUCCGGCGCGUUGGCAUUAUUUCUCUUAGUUUUCUCUUGUAUUCUCUUUUGGACGUGAUUGUGUUGUUUGCCUCAGUGAUGAACUCACAGUUGUAUCGGGUGACUCCUAUAUUAAUAUAGCAGGGCGAAAGCCUAUUUCAAGGUGAUGUGCUCAGGUUGAGCAGAAUUGCUGAGGGAUUUGUGUAGCUGAAAGGCUACCGGAGGUGGUGCUGCUUACGUUGAUUUUCAUCUCGUUUCCAUGGACGCCUUCGAAUCCAUCUCGCAUUGCCUAGCAGUUGUCUUAGCACUGAAGGUUUGAAGAUCGUAGCCAUUCAAGAAACCAUGCAUAUGGACUUUGCCCUCUCGGAGCUGGAACGGUUGAGCUCCCACCUGUUUGCCUGGCAUUGGCUUCCUUCUAGUGGGACCACAAGACAUUCGGGUGGCAUCCUUUUAGGCUUGAAGGAUGCCACCUUCGAAUUAGAUAGCAUGGACCGGGGUGAGUUCUUUGUGAGCAUGGAGAUGUAUGAGUGAGCGCUCAACUUCAAAUGUGAGAUUGUAGUGAUGUACGGCCUAGCGGACCACUAGCGGUCCGAGUCUUUCCUCGCCGAGUUGCGACGGAAGGUCUUCGGUGCUGACCUUCCAGAGGUUGUGUGAGGUGACUUUAACCUCACCCACUCGGCCGAGGAAAAAAAACAAUAACCUCAUCAACUUCCCUCGGAUGCAGCUCUUCAACGACUACAUUGCGGAUCUCAGACACCGAGAAUUAGAUAGGGUUGGUGCCAGGUUCACCUGGACCAAUCGCCAAGCCGACCUGACACUAUCUGUAUUAGAUCGUGUCCUUGUGUCCCCGGGUGUGGAGCUUCGCUGCCCUCUCGCCUCCCUUCGGGCUAUAACCAGGGCCGGUUUGGAUCAUGUCCCCUUGCUCCUCUACUCGAAGAACGACCUUCCCCAUCCCCCUGUGGUUCCGGUUCGAGUCCUACUGGCAACCAGGAUGGCUUAGUUGCGGCCAUCCACGUUCGAUGGUUGGAGGCCCGGGCGUCUCCGCCCCAGGCCAUCUCGGCCUUUAACACCUAGCAUUUCUAUGCCAAGCAUGCACGCCAAUUUAUGAAGGGGUGGGCGGCCAACCUUGGCUGUGACUUGCCAGAGCGCAAGAAAGCACUGCUUGACGCCAUCCAGAUGCUUGACCUCCGUGCGGACACUGUAGGUCUCUCCGCUAAGGAAUGGCUGCUCCGAUACGACAUAGUAGACUAGUUGUCGAUCAUCUACACGGACGGGGAGGCCUUUGGUGCUAACGGGGUAUCCAAAAGUGGGUCCUCAAAGGUGAUGCCAAUACGGUGUACUUCCAGGCCAUAACGAACGGCCGGAGACGCAUGAACACCAUCCCUCUCCUUUGGGAUGGUGACCAUCUCCUCCAGCAGCCGGUUGACAUUCGUGCCCACGUUGAUGGCUUCUACAAUGUGUUCUUCUCAGCCUACCCUCGGGGAGGGGUAACCUUGGCCCCGGAUAUUUGGGCCGCUCACCGGCGUGUGUUGACGACCGACAACGAGGCCCUUAUGGCCCCAUUUUCUAAGGUGGAGGUUUGGAUGGGCAUCAAAGGCAUGAAUCCGACAUCCGCCCCAGGGCUUGAUGGCCUUCCAAUGAAGUUCUUCCAAACUUUCUGGGACGUUGUCAAACCCAAGGUGAUGGCGAUCUUUGAGGAGUUCUACAUGGGUCCAUUGACCUGGCGCGGCUUAACUAUGGGAUCAUCACUCCCAUUCCCAAAGUGCCCGGGGCCUCAGACAUUUGUCAAUUCCGCCCAAUCACGGUGACCAAUGUGAUCUUCCGCAUUCUGGCGAAGGGGUAUGCCAAUAGGGUGACCCAGUUGGCGGACCAAAUCACCCCCGAAUCAGUCGGCCUUCAUUAGAGGCUGACACAUUCUUGAUGGGGUGUUGGUGUUCCAUGAAGCCCUUCAUGAGGUAUGCUCAAGGCAACUACAAGCGGUAUUUCUGAAGGCCGUCUUCCAUAAGGCAUCCACUGGCCCUUCCUGUGGGAGGUGCUCCUCCGUAAGGGCUUCGACGAUAGAUGGAUUACACGCGUGAUGCAAAUGGUCUCUAGCGGCCGCACUGCGGUUAACAUCGACGGGGAAAUUGGGCCCUUCUUCCCCACCUUAUGUGGGGUUAGACAGGGUGACCCCUUCUCCUUGUUCUUGUUUAACAUGGUUGCCGAGGCCUUGGCCACCAUCCUUGACAUAGCUAGGGCAGCGGGCCAUAUCCACGGUGUGGUGCCCCAGCUAUAGCCUCCCAGAGACCCUUGAUCAUGAGAUCGCCAAAUAUCAGGCGCGCUUCUUCUGGGCCGGCGAGGGUGAUAAGCAAAAAUACCAUAUGGUUAGUUGGCUGGACAGUUGCAAACCCCGUGACCAGGAUGGGCUAGGGAUCAUGUCGUCUAAACGCAUGAACAUGGCCCCGCUGACUCGCUGGUUGUGGCGGAUUGCGAAUGGGGAAGGCGGCCUUUGGCUUGACAUCAUUCGGAGCAAGUACCUUCAUGGUCAACCGCUCGGCUUCUGCCAAUGGUCCAGAGGGUCGCAGUUCUGGCAGUCCAUCAUUUAGCUACUCCCGGUCCUCCGUACUGGAACCUCCAUCGAGGUAGGCUCGGGCUCUGCUACCCUAUUCUGGUUUGAUAGGCGGGUUGGUGCUCACCCCUUCACUGCUCGUUUCCUAGAGCUGUUUGCCAUCGCAAUGGAGCCCAGGAUCUCAGUCGAGAUGGCCCUUAUUGACUUAGGGCAACUCGCGUUCCGGCUGCCAUUUGGGCCCGCGGAACUUGGGGCAUGGCAAGACCUCCUUUACUGCAUAGCGCUGCACUCUCCGAAUGUGGAUCUGCCGGAUGAUAGCAUCUCCUGGCACUUGGAGCCAUCUGGCCGGUUCUCCACCAAGUCCUUAUACCUGGCCAUUGCGGCUGCUCCGGCCCUAGCGCCCUGACCCAGAUGUGGGUGCUUAGACUGCCAUUGAAGAUUAGGAUCUUCCUCUUGCAAUGGAUUCGGGGACGGGCCCCCUCGGGCAUGUAGGUGCUCAAGCGGAAUAGCCCUGGCGAUGGGAUUUUUUCCUUUAUGUGGGGUGGCGGAGGACUCGAACCACAUCUUCUUCAUGUGUGUAUCCGCCCAAUUCCUUUAUAUCUGCUUCCGCGAAGCGGUUGGCGGUCGUUCGUGUAACAACAACUUCCCCGGCCUCUUUGCGGAAAUCCAGGCCACCCCUUAGCGUGACCGCCACGCUAGGUGGCUAUGUAUUGGGUUUCUGGCUUGGACUCUUUGGACCAUGCGCAAUAAACUUGUCAUCCAGCGUGUUCCUCUUUGGCAUGCUACUGACAUGAUUUUCAAAAUGUGUGGUUACUUGCAGCUUUGGCGGCCGCUUAGCCGGCCCCAGGAUCGCCACGUCAUCAACAUCAUCAUUGCAGAUCUUCGCGCGACGACUCUCCACUUGGCGCCACCGCUUCCCCCACCAUGGUCUGAGCCAGAUUAGCCGCCUCGCGGCAUGUGCUGCCGCUGCUCUUGUCUUUUCAUCUUUGUUUUAGGGCUUGUUGAGCUGUGCCCUCAGCAGAACCCUCGAUACUCCGCGUGUCUGNNNNNNNNNNNNNNNNNNNNNNNNNNNNNNNNNNNNNNNNNNNNNNNNNNNNNNNNNNNNNNNNNNNNNNNNNNNNNNNNNNNNNNNNNNNNNNNNNNNNNNNNNNNNNNNNNNNNNNNNNNNNNNNNNNNNNNNNNNNNNNNNNNNNNNNNNNNNNNNNNNNNNNNNNNNNNNNNNNNNNNNNNNNNNNNNNNNNNNNNNNNNNNNNNNNNNNNNNNNNNNNNNNNNNNNNNNNNNNNNNNNNNNNNNNNNNNUGUCGAAUCUUGUCGCUCUGGUGGUUUGGUUUACAUAUAGAGCGGGGCGAAAGCCUUUUUUGGUAAGGUUUGAAGAUUUCAGAGGUAGAGCAGUUGUACUUUCAUGAUUUGGGUGGUGGUAUUACAAGAUUAUGGUCGCUGGCAUGAAUCACGAUGUUGUUUUGGUCUUUGGUGAUCAGAGGUGUGCGGUUAUACUAGAUGGUUGUUGAUGGAUAUUGACUAUCUGCAUGCUCGUGGGGCUUCUCAGUAUUUAACUGUUCAUUGUGCAUUGACUACCGGGGCGUGUGUACAGGGGCGGGCCCACCUCAAUUCAAGGGUAUUAAAUUGAAUACCCAUUAUUUUUUGAGAAAAACAUAGGUAUAUAUGUGUACAUCACAUGUAACAUAUACAGGAAAAAACGAAACUGAUGCAAUAAACGUACUACUCCUGCCCAAAGCAGAGGCUAGCCCACCCUCACCACCCACAUCAUGGCCCAGAGGCCCAAAUAGCUUCACGCUGUAACCUGCCCACUCCACGCAUCCAUCGGUGGUUCAGUUACCUUCGCCAAAAAAUAUCUACCGAUCCAGCAGCAAACGAACGGGCGCCGCCCUUCCCCUGUUCCCAAAUUCUGUUCGCAAGCCGCCGCCCUGAUUUCCAUCCGCCAUCGCAUAUUUGCAUGCGCGCACGGCGGCAGGCACUAUCGGACGGCACGACGCAGUGCAUCGUCCAGAUUCCAGCAGCAUGACAUCCAUCCCUCGCUUCUUUUGGUACUGAUCUUUGCACGCUUCUGUCUUCAAUUUUAAAGCCUUAGGUUAGACUAUAGUAGCACAUAUGAUCUGUUCAUAAAAAUUAGAUGUGUUCAUGUGGCUUAAUACUUCAGGACUAUUCAAAUUGGGAUCUGGGGUUGCUCCUUUCUUAUCGAUUCUUAGUUGAACUAAAUUAAUCUUGCCAAUUUGAUGUUGGCUAUUGAUUUCCCUCUGUAUCUCAUGCUUCUUAGCUUGUUUUUAAUAAGAAGCUAGGAAGCCAGAUGGGGCAAAAAUCCUUGAAUGAUUGCUUGGUUACAUUCAUCGAAAGAGAUUUCCUCUUGCAAGUUAAGGGAGGACAUCAUCACUCAUUUUCAAAUGAUCAAGGACCGGAAAGUUAUCCCGUAAAAUGUAUUUCCAUAUGGUGGACAAUUUAAUUUUAUGAUCAAUUAUGUGAAUCUAUUAUAUUAUGCUAUAUCUUUAUGUAUUGUCCAAUUUGUAUAAACUGGUACUAGAAUCAGUUAUAUAUAUAUACAAAACUUGGCUUUAGACUUUCAAAAACCGCUUUUAAAAUUUUGAAUACACACUCUUGAAAUCCUGGGCCUGCCCCUGCGUGUGUAUAGGUUUGUUGCUUUGGAAUUGCGUUCUUCAUGGUGCUCGGCAGUUUCUCUCUACCCGACGGAAUAUUUUAGACCUCAUUUUCUCCAUUGCAUUAUGUUUAACAAUCAUCUUUUCUCUGACAUAUGGUAUAAAGAAAAUGAACUGUUAAGUUUGUUAAUUUUGAUUAACCUUGGUGCUGUACUGCCGGCUUGUCGUAGGUCUCUCAACCUUUGGUCCUGUCUGAUGGAAUAGGAGGUGCUGCCAUCCAUGAGCUUGUCCGUGUUGAAUACAGUAAGCUCAUUGCAAAAAUUAUGCUCCUUGAAAAUGACUCUUCUACGAUCCAAGGGUAUGCAGCAGGACCAUUAAAAAAAAUAAAAGGUUAUAUUCUACCAGGCCAAUCUUUUCUGAAUAGCUAUGCACAUGUAGCCCCUUUGUGUUCAGGACCUUGGGUCGAUUUUCGAUGGAAUCCAGGUAAGCUAAGUAUGGUGACCAUUUCAUUUGGUUGAUUUACUCUUAUCAGUUGUACUCCCUCCGUCCGACAAUACUUGUCACCAAAAUAAAUAAAAAGUGAUGUAUCUAGAACUAAAAUACGUCUAGAUACAUCCCCUUUCAUCUAUUUUAAUGACAAGUAUUUUCGGACAGAGGGAGUAGUUGUCUUGACCUCAUGCCUUUUAUAUUUGCAGCGUCCCAGAAAUCUAUUACUAUUAGAUCUACGGACAUGUACUUUCAUGCUCUUGUCUAAGCUGGGUAAUGCAUUUAGCAUGCUUUGAUUGUGAAAGACUGAAAGUGGGACAUCCUAUUAAUCUUUGCAAGGUCCUAAAACUAUUCCUUUUUUUAUCAUUUGCUUCAGGUAUUAAGAUGUUACGGGUGGAGUUCUAUAUGUUUUAAGUUUUUAUGAUGUUGAAUUCUUUUUUUGAUGUUCACCAAAGUUUUCUUGAUAUUGACCUGUGUGCAAAUGCUAAUGAUCUCUGACUCUCGCAGACUGUCUUUGAGAAAACUUUGGUGAACCACCAUGUAGCCUUUCCACCGAUUUUAUGGGAAUGUAAACUACUCCCUCCGUUCCCAAAUAUAAGUCUUUCUAGAGAUUCCAACAAAUGACUACAUACGGAGCAAAAUGAGUGAAUCUACACUUAAAAUAUGUCUACAUACAUUCGUAUGUUGUAGUCUAUUUAAAAUGUCUAAAAAGACUUAUAUUUAGGAACGGAUGGAGUGCAUUGCUCCAGCUGGUCAAUAAAGUAGAUCUUAUCUAUCACAUUUUUAUUUAUUUUCUCGCGAAGGACGGAAUCAUGGGUGAGCCACGUGCAGUCCGGUAAAUCCCGUUAGCACAGUCAUCGACACAUCAGGACUCGAGGAGGAGAACUCAGAGCAAAAGUGUACUCUAUAGAUACUUAGGCCCUGUUUGAUUGCAAAGUAUUUUCUAAGCAUUUUAAAUAUACUACCAUUUUUAAGUUACUACAGUUUUAUUUACUACGACCUGUUUGGCUAACGCUAAAAAAUGUGUUAUUAAAACUAGAGUAUUCACAAAACUUUUCUCUCCAUAAUAAAAAGAACCCAAACCUCUUUCUUCAAAAUAGAGCAAGCGAAUGAAACGAGUCGGUCGCUAGAUAUUCUCAACAAACUCAUCUCGCUAUCAAGCCGCCGCUGAGGCAAGUCACGCCACCCUAUAACAAACUCGUCUCGCUAUCAGCCUAUCGCCGCCGCCGUCGUCGACGGAGUCGUUUGUGCAUUUUUUUAGGAAUAUCGCACUUUAUUGAUCAAGUAUAAUCAAAAGAGAGUGCCUCUUGGAUACAACCCGGGGUUAAAUGAAAAAUAGAGUCACCGGAGGACUCACAAGAUCUAGCUAGAAUAUGAGCCGCCACAUUGGACAAAGGAUUUACAUGACUAAAGCAAACAGAAAAGAAAGACCGACGCCAACUCCUUGAUAUCAGCAGUGAUGAGCCCCACCGGCGAGCGAUGAACCGUCGAAGCAUUGGUUCUUUCAAUAAUUGACAAACAGACUGACUGAAAAAGGCCCAUGAAAAUCCUUCCUUACGGGUGAGAGCCACCGCACGCCGUAGCGCCAGUGCUUCAGCUAAUUCUGGGCAGUAACCUCGUCAACAUGCUCAUGGCAAGCCAACAAGCAAUCUCCGAUGUGGUUCCAUAUUACCACGCCAAUUCCUAUCCGUCAAGACUCCUUAAAGAGUGCAGCAUCCAGAUUAACGGCCACUACAUCUGCCGGCGGCGGAACCCAUUUAACAGAAGAUACUGGGGUAUCACGCCUUAUAGCAAAUGCAGUUCUACCACAAUUCUGCACAAUGAAGUCAAUAUAAGCCAAAGCUUUCUCAGCCACUCUGCGAGGAUGCAUCCUAACAUCACUAUUUCUUACAUCAUUUCGGGCCUCCCAAAUGUGCCAAAUUGUUACUACCAAAGCCGUGGCCUCGAGAGAGGUCGCUCGUUGAAUGAAAUCAAAUAUGCACUGCUUGGUAUGAACAAAACCGUUGCGGCACAGAUGGAAGCCUAAAUUGCACUUCACCACUCGCCAUACCUGGCGCGCGAAGUGGCAAAAUAGGAAGAGACGCUCAGUCCGCUCCUCUCUGCUACAGAAAAAACAUGCCCCUGCAUUUGGAACAUGGCGCUGUAGCAACUGACUGCCCGUCGGCGGACAAUCGUGGGCCAUUCUCCAAAGAACGAUCUUCAUCUUUCCUGGAGCAUUGACCUUCCAAAGAGCUUGCCAGCUUUUCUGUUCAGCACCAAAGUCUGAUUGCACACCAUGGCCAUAAGAGUUAAGAGUAGCAUGAAAUUUCUCAGACUUGGGCAAGUUACAUGCCGAUCUGACUGAGUAGGAUCCAAAUCGAUCAUGAGGCCAGGUAACAAAUCAUCCACCACAUGCACACUUAGUGGAAUUUGUAACACUACAUUGGCCAUCCUCUCAGGAAAAACACUUCGGACGACAUCCUCGUCCCAAGCUUUUCGACCAACACUAAGGAGGAAAUCCACUGUCACUCCCUCUGGGAUAGGGACUAGAGUAUGAAAAGACUCCGCUGGGUGGCCUUGAAUCCAAUUAUGAUCCAACAACUUAAUUUUGUUUCUUGUACCCACCACCCAACUCAAGCCUUUCGAAACCAGCUCCCUUCCAAACAAAAUGUUGCACCAGGUAAAGGACACUACCCUGGGACAAGUUGCAUCCAUAAAAUCAUAGUUCGGGAAGUAUAUGCCCUUAAGGACCUUACCGCACAACGACGACGGUUCAGUCAGUAAGCGCCAGCUCUGCUUCCCUAGCAUUGCUUGAUUAAAGAGCACAAAAUCACGGAAUCUCAUGCCGCCAAGUGAUUUUUGAGUGGAUAGCCAUUCCCAACUACGCCAGUGCAUCUUUUUUCGGCCAUCCUCAAUGCCCCACCAAUAGUCAGCAAUGGAAUUUCUCAUCUUGUCACACGUUGACACAGGGACCUGGAAGCAGCUCAUAACAUAAGUCGGUAUGGACUGUACAACCGCUUUCAAGCGUACCUCCUUACCGGCCCUUGACAAGGGCCGACCAGUCCAUCCAUGUAUGCUCUUCCACACACGAUCAGGCAUGAAACUAAAAGAAUCACAGACAGCUCGGCCUAUCUCAGUCGGCAUACCAAGGUAUGUGUCUUGUAGUACUUCAUUGUGAACCUGCCGUAUGUUCUUAACCUCUUGUUUAACACUGUGCGAACACCUAGAGCCAAAAAAAUUUGAGGACUUCCUCAAAUUUAUCUUCUGGCCAUAGGCAUUACAGUAGGCCGUUAGAGUGGAAUGCACGACUCCACCGUAUGGCGAUCACUCUUUGCAAAAAAGAUACUAUCAUCUGUAAACAACAGAUGUGAGAUCGGAGGAUCUUGUCGACCAUUACGUAAACCAUGUAGCUCACCAAGGCGCUCCUUUUGCUGCAACAAACAUGAUAAACCUUCAGUGCAAAGAAUGAAUAGAUAGGGGCUUAUGGGAUCACCCCGUCGAAUACCACGAGAUGGGACAACUGGAUCGAUGAGUUCCCCAUUAACUCUAACUGCAUAUCUAGCAGUCGUCACAUACCGCAUCACCAUGUCAAUCCAUCAUGGAGUAAAGCUCAGUUUACUCAUGUAGUCAUGAAGGAAAGACCACUCAACACGGUCGUAGGCUUUCAUCAUGUCCAACUUGAAUGCAAAAUAAGGGCGCUUGGAGUGUUAUCUCCGGAUGGUAUGCAAGCACUCAUACGCAAUCAGAGCACUGUCUGUAAUCAACCUUCCCGGAACAAAAGCACUUUGAUACUCUGAAAUAAUGUCUGGCAAAAACACCUUAAGUCUAUUCGCUAAGACCUUCGGUGCAAUCUUGUACAGAACAUUGCACAAACUUAUCGGGCGGAAAUUAGUGAGGUGCUCUGGGUUUGCUAUCUUUGGAAUAAGAACAAUCACAGAAUCACACAGACCCUCUGGAACUGUUUCCCCCAAUAGAAAGCCUCGCACAGCGGCACAGAUCUCAUGUUUGAGAAAUUCCUAGUGUGUUUGGUAAAACAAAGCUGGGAACCAAUCUGGACCCGGCGCUUUCGUCGGGCCCAUCUGAAAAAGAGCGGUUUUGAUCCCGUCCUCUAUAAAGGGGCUACAAAGGCUACCAUUCAUUACCACAUCAACUUUCUGUGGUAUCGCAUCAAGAACCUCGUCUGAAGCAAUACAUGGUUCUGAUGUGAAUAAGUUCACAUAGAAAUCCUGAACCAUAUUCUUCAUACCACCCUGAUCCGAACAACGCAUACCAUCAUCUUUUAUCAACACCUUAAUUUUAUUAGUGCGUCGUCUUGCAGACGCCUUGGCAUGAAAGAAUUCAGUAUUACGGUCUCCCUCGCGGAGCCAAUCCACUCUUGAUCGCUGUCGAGCUAUUAUCUCUUCCCUUUCAAAAAGUUCACAAAGUUCAGCCUCAAUGGCUCGUUCAGUAGCGAUCACUUCCGUGGAAACUGCUUGUCGCCGCAAGGCAUGCAGUCUCCGUUCCAACUUGGCAAUCUGUCGUCUAACAGAGCCCAAAGUCACCCUGCUCCAAUCCUUUAGCGAGCCUGCCACUCGUUGUAGGUUGAACCAAGUCGACUGAAGCGAGCGAACCCCCUCGCUAUGUUCACGCCAUGCAUUUUCCAACACAUCUCGAUAAUCAGGCGCUCGCAACCACAUGGCCACAAAGUGGAAACCCUGUUGUACCGGAGCAUUAUCUCUACUACGAUCAACGCUGUUCAACAGGAUGAAAACCGCAUAGUGGUCGGAUGUCAUGGUGAUAACAUUAGUUACCUCAUAAUCAUCAAACAACAGUGAGAACUCGCCAUUACCGACAGCCCGGUCAAGACGCACCUUGACAUGGGUGUCGGCAUCUUGGCGAUUAGUCCACGUAAACUUUGGGCCCGUAUAGCCCAAGUCUACGAGGCCGCAAUCUUCAAGGCAAUCCCUGAAGAGCCAUUUGUGCCUCAGAGCGAUCAUUCGGACCCACGUACUCGUCAUAGCUUACAACCUCGUUGAAAUCACCACAACAAAAUCAUGGUCCAGUCCAAUCAUGGUUCAAGCGACGAAGUAAAUCCCAAAACACAUUACGGAUUUCACGUCGUGGCUCACCAUAGACAAAUGUCACACGCCACGGAACAACAUCCGGCUGCGUAAUAACCACAUCAAUACACCGUUGAUUAAAACCUUUUAGCUCUACUGAAAAAGGUUGUAACCAAAAUAGCGCCAAACCUCCGCUGAGGCCUACGCAACAAACAGCAAAAGAACUAGAGUAAUCCAACGACCACAUAAAAUUCUUUGCUUUAUUAUCCAACAUCUUUGUUUCAGAAGCGAAGCUCGCCGACUGUGACGUCCGACCCCAAGCCGCGACAGUUCCAAUAUAACAGACUCAUUGCAUUUGGCGGGACUGCUCCGCAGCUGCUGCCGGAUCCGCCGAUCGAUCUGAAGUCAUCUUUUGUUUCUUGUUGGAUUGAUUGCUUUUGUCUCCUUCGCUAUUCACGUCCAAAAUAGGAGCCUUGCUUGCUGCUGGAACCAACGCGAGUUGAUUAUUCUGCAUGCAUGCACCGUCAUUAGCUAGUCUAGUUCCUUUGGUUUUUGCUGCUUGCGUUUACGUCCAGUAUUUGGCAGCCCAUCAUUCUGUUCAGGAAAAGACUCCCGCUCAGCUCCGUGCUUAUUUGGUGAGGCCUCCGGCCAGUGUGUUAAUAAAGCAAAAAGCUACAUCUACUUCAGCCCAAACACACCAGCGGCCUCAAACAACUUUUGGACGUCUAGUCAGAAGCUUUUUUUAAACGAUAUCUUGGUCUGCCCACUGUCAUUGGAAGAAUUAUGAGUGGAACCUUUGAACACAUUGAGGAUCGGGCGAGGGGAAAGAUGCAAGGCUGGUCUGAACGAUUAUUUGCCUGUGCAGGAAGGGAGACUUUGAUCAAAUCCAUUGUACAAGCUAUUCCGACUUUCAGCAUGUCCUGUUUUCUGUUGACCAAAAAAGUGUAGAAGAAUAUAACCUCAAGCAUGGAAAAAUUCUGGUGGGGGAGUUCUGUGGAUCGACGUCCUCUUCACUGGAUCGCUUGGGACAAGCUUGCUACACCAAAGAUCAAGNNNNNNNNNNNNNNNNNNNNNNNNNNNNNNNNNNNNNNNNNNNNNNNNNNNNNNNNNNNNNNNNNNNNNNNNNNNNNNNNNNNNNNNNNNNNNNNNNNNNNNNNNNNNNNNNNNNNNNNNNNNNNNNNNNNNNNNNNNNNNNNNNNNNNNNNNNNNNNNNNNNNNNNNNNNNNNNNNNNNNNNNNNNNNNNNNNNNNNNNNNNNNNNNNNNNNNNNNNNNNNNNNNNNNNNNNNNNNNNNNNNNNNNNNNNNNNNNNNNNNNNNNNNNNNNNNNNNNNCACUUCUCGGGAAGCACGGCUGGAGGUUCCUAACAAAACCUGAUGCUCCCUGUACCAGAGUAACGAAAGGAAGGUAUUUCCCGGAUUGUGAUUUUAUGCAAGCACCAACACCCAAAUCUGCAUCAGCCACCUGGAGGGCCAUCAUCGCCGGGCGCGCAGCUCUCAGUGCUGGUCUUGUAAAACGUAUUGGUGAUGGAGUUUCUACUUCUGUAUGAGAGGACCGAUGGAUUCCAUCGACUGUUUCUAUGAGGCCGCUGUUCAGGGCGCCAUCGACCACGGUCACCAUGGUCAGUGACCUAAUUGACUCGGAGAUUUCGACCGGGAAGCGUGAUCUAAUCCAAGCGACUUUCAUCACACAUGACGCGGAGGCAAUCCGUAAUAUCCCACUCUGUCAGGGUGACGGGGAGGACUUCCUUGCUUGGGCACAUGAGAGAUCCGGCAUCUACUCUUUUAAAAUGGCCUAUCGAGCUCUAGUGAAUCAGAACGAGCGGUUAGCUCUAGAACAAGGGCAAGUAGCGGGGCCAUCAAUGGAUGAGGAGCAGAUGUGGAGUCGCUUAUGGAAACUCAAAGUUGUUCCAAAAGUUAGAGUGUUCCGGUGGAGGGUAAUCAGAGGAAUCAUUCCGGAUGAAUAUACCCUCCAAUGCCGUCAUAUCAAAGACACAAGUCUGUAGUUGUGCCUUGCCAUGGACGAGGACUUGAUGCAUGCUCUUGUUCAUUGCUCUCAUGCAAGGCGCUUUUGGGAGGAGGCGAGAUUGCUCUUCGAGAUUAACGUGCCACGGCUCCACACAACACUUGGGCACGUGAUAUCCUUUGUGAUAUGCAAUUCACAGACAAGGAUCGUGCCACAAUCAUUACUGUCAUGUGGGCUAUUUAGAUGUCUCACAACAGAAGGACACCUGGUCAGGAGAUCAUUGAUCCAGCUAACACGGUUAGACGCAUUCGCGAAGACCUGGCAUUGCUGGACAUUCCCCGACAGAAUAACUUGCCGGGUCACGGUUGGCAGCCCCUUGAAGGUAACUUUGUACAGAUCAACAUGGACACUACGGUACAUCGCGAUUCCGGCAAUGUCGGCGUGGGGGGAGUAGCCCGCUCUUCCUCGGCAUUCCUGGGCGCAUGGUGCAAACCCCACCUGGGGAUCACGGAUCCUUUCAUUGCUGAAGUGCUCUCCUUGCGUGAGGGCGUCAUCUUCGCGAAGCUUCGAGCCUACACGCACGGGCGACUGGAAUCCGACUGUCUUGAGACAGUUAACCUCUGGAACUCUAGCUACACCGACCGAUAGUACACCAAUUUUGUCAGAAAUUAGAAAGCUCUCUGCUAGCUUUUUGUCAUUUCAUAUUUCUCAUGUAAUAAGAGCCGCUAACGGUUCAGCACAUCUGUGUGCUAAGCAUGCAUGUACGCUUAAUACGACUGAAAGCUGGCUGGACUCCACCUCUGGGUUUCUGGUUAGCAGCCUCCUGGCUGACUGCCGAGUGAAUGCUUUCCCUUAAUAAAGCUCUUUGAAGUUCCCCACAAAAAAAAGCUCCGUGCUUAUUGCUACGGCCACGCCCCCUAGUCUGGCGCUCAUCCCGUGGUUUGUGCGGCGGAGUAGCAUCGUCACGAGCUUUUGCCUCUCCGCAGCCCCGUCCCCUACUCGCAGUUUUCCGAGCAGGAGCAGAACCGAUGCCUGAAUUUUUUGUGGUGUCGGUACCAGAUCCAGGUCCCGCGGAGGAAGAUGAUGUACUCGACUUAGUGCCUCCAGAUUUUGGCUUGUCUUCUGGUGCACAUAGCUUGGCUGCCCUAAAUGGCAAAUUACCAUCUCGGUCACGUUCUGCCGGCGCUGGGCACGUUAGAUGGCCAUGACCAAUCAGACCGCACGAGAAGCAGUAGAAAGGGAGUCGUUCGUACUGCACCUCGUAGCUCUCCAAAGACUGUGUACGCGGCCCCCAGGACGCCAAAAAAGCGUCGUCUGGGGCCGAACCGGCGCUGACUUUUGGAGUAGAGGCAAUUGCGUUCCCAGGUCGCCCCCAACUCGGCGAAUUCGUCACAAAAUUGGCUAUUUUCAUUCAAUUUGUAAAAAAACAAAAAAAACAAACAAACUACGCCUAGCCCUACUACGCCGCGGCCGCCGCCCGCCUUCCACAUGACGAGGAGCCUGUCGAACCGGGUGUAGUCGCCGCCGCCAUCAUCAUCGUCGUCGUCGUCGCCGCCGCCGCCCUGCGUCCCGCCGGAGCCGCCGCUAUCCCUGCUGCACCCCUGACCAGGGUCGCCAACGCGUGGAUGGUUGGACGGCCCGGGAGCAUCUUCCUCGUCGCUGUCGAGGACGACGACGCCGCCCUCUUCGUGACCGCGGCGCCGAGCCUUGAUCUCCUCAUAUGCCCGGCGCUGGCGCGCAACCGGCUCGCAGACGUAGUCCACCUUCGCCACGUGAGGGCGGUCACGUCGGUGGCGGCCAUCUCCGCGUGCUCCUUCUUUACGGGGAGCAAUCCCGGCUCGGUGUUCGACCGAACUAGGCGGAGGGAAUGCGGGGAGGGGCGGCCUCCCUCGUUGAUGAUGAGGGCGCCGUUGCGGGUGCGGCGCGCAAGCGGCGUCUCCUGUGGCUCCGGCUUGACGGGACGGAGCGCCGGCGACCCGGAGGAGAGCGUGCCGAAACCCCACGACUAGGAGGUCGCCACCUCCAUUCGCCGCGGCGUCCAGGAGCUGCCACGGUGGCGAGAGAAGGAUGGGCGCGACGGGUACUCGAGGUGCGGCGUGUUGCCAGUCUCGGUGUAGUCGAGGACGGCCUCGACGGUACCGCUCAGCCAUUGCUCAUGGGAGGGGGGAGGGGCUGUGGUGAGACGGGGCGAGAGAGGAGGCGAGUUGUGGCGUUCACCGGCGAGGAGGUCGACUUUUAUAGCCGAAGCGAGGCGGUGAGAAUCUGCAUGUCGGGCGAUGCGUGGCGGGAGCGGGCGGGAUGUGCGUCGCGGCGCCUUCACUGCGCCGCCCGUGAGGCAUCAAUGGAGGCUGACCGACGCGGCAGCGCGAGAGCCUUGGCAUUGAUUCCCGCAGGAACCGAGGCAAUAAGGACGAUGAAGCGGCGUGUCACUGACUUGGCGGGCCCAUUCCCGUUCGCGCCAAAAUCGGUUUUGCGCGGCGCCCCCAGCGCGUCCAGUUCGGCCUGGGAUCUAUCGGCGCCAGUUUCGGCCCAAACCAGCGAAAAACGGGCUACUGAGGACGUGACUGGACCGUUUUUUGGACGCCGACGCCCAAAAAGGGGUCUGGGGGGCCUGUUGAGGCGCGGCUGGAGAUGCUCUGAGGAGUAAACAAUGGCGUAUCUGAUCAACGACUCGUGCACUUUAACCCCCACCCGUACUCUCAUCAAUCUGCCCUAGCAGCGAUCCUGGGCGUCCGUCUCUACGUGAUCGGAGGUGUCGAUGUUCUUCGCAAUCUCCUUGCCUUGACGCCCAUUCAUCAGACGAGGAGGCAGUUUAAUAAUUCUGGCCCAAAUGUCCAAUCUUUCAAAGUUUACUAGGAGCAACGUCCACAUCGCAUCUCUUGAGCAGUAUAGCGUCCUUCCCUGUUGGAACAGAAACCCUAAACCCAGCUCUCCCCUCACUCUCUUGAGCGCUCUCUCUCUCUCUCUAUGUGGCGCGAACCAACGAAGAAGAAGGAAGAAGAAGGAGAAGCAACGGUGGACAUGGUGAUGGUUUUGGCCGGCGCACGAACGCCCUGCCGCUUGAACAACGUUUUCUUUCUCUCGAGCACGAACUCGACGUGUCAACGAGCUACACAGAGGGGUAAGGGUUUUAUACCUGCGAGCACUGACAUGCCAGGCCUCGCCUAGCACCCACUCGCUCCCCCACUCACCCACGCCCCGCGCACUCCGGCUCGCGCCCGCGCAUCGCACCCGUACGCGAUCCCCACGGCCUCCCUGCGCGCCCGACGUUGUCUACCCUCCCUGAUCGCUCGCUAACAGACCCACGUGACCCCGCGCACAAACGCGCUGGCUCAUGCGCGCGCACACACACGCGCGCGCGCGCGCGCGCACACACACACACGAUGCACACGCCCGCGGUCCCGGCGCACCCGACUCGCCCAGCUCACGCCCAUACACGCGCUAGUCGUGUCCGGUUCGUCGCCGCGGCUUACUUGCCCAACACUCGCGCCCUAAGCCGCGGCUAAGAGCAGUCCGGCGUCCUCGACGUCGCCGUCCACCAGCAACGCUCCCUCGACCAUCGGCGCCUUCCGCAGCUAAGGGCAAUCACGCUUGAAAUGACCGCGCUCGCCACACUUGUAGCAGCGGCCACGUCCCCGAAGCCACGUUACGCACGUCAUCGUCAUCCCGUGCACCUCCUUGUUGCUGCUCCUGCGCUCGCGCAUUGCACCGUCGUGUACAUGAGAUGUCUGUUCGCUCGCUCGCCGCCCGCCUGGCCGCGUCGCCGCAGCCGCUCAUCGAACGCCUUCAUCCGACCCAAAUGCCUCCUCGAACGCCAUCGUGCCGACGUCGCAGAACUGCUCGAUCCCGGCCACCGCUGGGUACAGGCGGUCCGGCACCGAGUCGAGCAGCUUCUUCACGAGUGCGGCAUCCUCCAGAGUCAAGCCGAGCCCCGCGAAGCGCGCAGCCAUGGCUCCGAGCUUGCCGGCGAAUCCGUCUAGUGUCUCGUCGCCCGCCAUGCGCAGGAGCUCAAACUCACCGCGGAGCGUCCCCAGCCGCGCCGCUCACACGCGAUCCGCGCCGACGAACCUGGUAUUGAGGCUCACCCAGAUCUCUGCCGCCGUCUUCUUCGACGACACCUGCAACAGCAGGUCCUCUGCGAGCACACCGAGCAGAUGGGCUUGCGCCGGCUUGUCCUUCUUCGCAAUCACCGCCGCCGCCGCGUCCUCGCGUCGAGGUUUGCCUCGACCUUGAUGGCCCACGCCGUGUAGUUGUCUCCGGCGAGCAACGGCACCGGCUGCGGCAGCGAUUCGCCCGGUCCGCCGGCGUACAGGACGAUGGACAUCGCCGGCGAGCUCCGACCUCCACGUGGCUCUGAUGCCAAAUGUUGGAACAGAAACCCUAAACCCUAGCUGAGUUCGUGCUCGAGAGAAAGAAAAUGUCGGUCGAGUGGCGGGGCGUUCAUGCGCCGGCAAGAACCAUCAGCGUGUCCACUGUUGCUUCUUCUUCUUCCUUCUUCUUUGUUGGUUCGCGCCAGAGAGAGAGAGNNNNNNNNNNNNNNNNNNNNNNNNNNNNNNNNNNNNNNNNNNNNNNNNNNNNNNNNNNNNNNNNNNNNNNNNNNNNNNNNNNNNNNNNNNNNNNNNNNNNNNNNNNNNNNNNNNNNNNNNNNNNNNNNNNNNNNNNNNNNNNNNNNNNNNNNNNNNNNNNNNNNNNNNNNNNNNNNNNNNNNNNNNNNNNNNNNNNNNNNNNNNNNNNNNNNNNNNNNNNNNNNNNNNNNNNNNNNNNNNNNNNNNNNNNNNNNNNNNNNNNNNNNNNNNNNNNNNNNNNNNNNNNNNNNNNNNNNNNNNNNNNNNNNNNNNNNNNNNNNNNNNNNNNNNNNNNNNNNNNNNNNNNNNNNNNNNNNNNNNNNNNNNNNNNNNNNNNNNNNNNNNNNNNNNNNNNNNNNNNNNNNNNNNNNNNNNNNNNNNNNNNNNNGAGAGAGAGAGAGCGCUAGGAUUUAGGGUUUCUGUUCCAACAUGCCCACCAUCCAUGGAGACCACUCCAUCACUCGGUUGCGAUCCGCCAUAGUUCCAUACUCUGCAAAGAAGAGAUUCGGCCCAGCGGAAUUGAACAGAAGUCCUUUCGGAUUUCCGUAAUCCGGCCUCAUGGCCGAUGGUUUGGAUGUGCAGAGUAUUGGGUGCCAGAACCUUGCUAGUGAGACCUCGAUCUGGGUCCAGUCCCAAGUCCUCAGCAUCAUCCAACACGACAACUUUUGCUUCAGCUGUUGUCAUAUUCAGGCGCGCCAUGAGAUCCUCGAUGCCCGAACUCCCAGAUGCCAUCGCUUCCCACGGCACUCGCGCAGGCGUGCCCUUGCCAAUCGCCGGCGCAGAUGGAUCCCCUUGGGCACCAUCACCCAGCGCACAAGACCCCUCCUUGGUUACAGCAUCUCCACUCGUUGCGCCCCCAGGAGACGUUUUUUCGCCGUCCUCUCCCAGCCGUCCCCCCAGGCGAUAGCCUUUUUUUCUUUUGGUCUAUUCUUGCCUGUCAUUCAACCAAACAGGUUGUGGGCGUGGUGGUUCUCGAGCUGUGGACGGCCGCUGGCGAGGAGAGCAGCGGCGGGAGCCCGAGGAUCCACGCGAGCAUGAACUGCACGAGCUCGUGCAGGUCCGCGCGAGCGCCGGAGCGCCCCGUCCGCCGUUGGUGAAGGGGCACCGCCGUAGGCAGUGUCGGAGGCGACGUCCAACUCCCCCUGCUGCAGCUUGCAGGAGGCCGUCCUCCGGCGGUGCUGCGCGCGGCGACGGCGCCGGCCACUCGUGCGCCGCGCCGACCCCGCGUCACCCCGUCUGCGCGCCGGUGUGCAGAGACUGCGGAUUCGCCGGCCACUCGUGCACCGCGCCGACCCUGCGCCUCCCCGUCCGCGCGCCGGUGUGCAGAGGCCACAGAUUUGCCUGCCACUCGUGCGCCGCGCCGACCCCACGGAUUCGCCGGCCACCCCGGAGCACGUCCUGGAGCGUGCGCGCGGCCGUGGAUGCGCGGGUGCGCACCCGGCGAGCCUCUCGAGCGCGCCGACCAGACGACCUCAUCGAGCACGCCGGACGCCGGCCACGCGACCUCGCUGCCCCGCACGCUGGACGCCGGACACCGACCUCGCUGCCCCGCUGCCUCGUCGGCGCGCUCGAGAGAGAGGCAUGGGAGAGGAGAGAGGAAAAGAGAGGAGAGAGGGUGAGGGCACAUGGGUGGGGCCCAGAUGAAAAGAGAGGAGAGAGGGGGUGGGAGGCUGAGGGUGGGCUAACCGCAAGAAAAAGAAAGCGCCGGCACGCCCAGCUGCCCCCAGGGGGCUGGGUUUGGGGUGGGUUUGCCGGCGUCAAUUUUAUUCAAAUCCGACGAAAGUGGGGCUUUGGGGAUGUGAGUGGGACCUUUGACAUGCUCUUAUCAUCGUUAUCAUCGGUAAGUCCCUUCCACCCUUGAUCACUUCUGCCAUCGAAGACCACCGAGAGAGGCUCCAAUUUUGAUGAGCAGAAAGCAGACGGGAGAAAGAGGAGACAUGCAGAGGGAGAGAAUUGAUUGGGAUCGCACUCUAAAAGGUUGAUCUUGUCCUUGGGAUCGCCAGCCGCCAGGGCGCCGCUAAACGCUAGGAGGGAGAACAUGCAGGAGGGCCAGUGGUAUCUCCAGCCCGGCAUGGUUCUGUUCUAUGCACGCUGAUGACAAACGCAACAGAAAUAAAGUUUGCACCGCUAAAAGCAACGGCUAGCUAGCUACGAAUGCAUGCACGGCCAAUGGCUAGCUAGUAAAUUUUACAGCAUUCUAUGGCGUAACCAAACAUGUCCUUUGCAUUGUGAAUACUCCAAAACAUGUUGUUAUAUUAAAACAAUCGUAUUUUUUGCCUGAAGACUAAAUUGCUGUAGUUCUUCAUACUUUGUUUUUUUAGUACUUUGCUAUCAAACAGGGCUUUAUUCUUCUUUUGUAAUGCAGGAUCAUACUUACAACCAACCAAUCUAUGUUGUAAUGGGCCAAUAUUAGGCUAUGUAUUGCAGCGACAUGAAGAUUUUUGUUAUUUAAUGGGUUGUAUCUAUAGUAGGAUGAUAAUCACAAUUUACAUCUCUAUCUCUAUCUAAUUAUCUAAAAUAAUUGUUUGUUCGCUAUGCUCCCUCUUUUGCCCCAUUUUUAUAUCCGUUGCAACGCACUAGCCUUUUUGCUAGUCUGACGUAUAGAUGGGGCGUUUCGGUGCCCAGACUCAUCUGCACCCGGUUAGAAAAAAAUUCGUAAAAGAAACAAGACAAAAUCAAAAAAAUUCAAAUUUUUUGUGUGCGGUAGAAAAUUUGAUGCGUGAAGACCGCUCCAAAUUUCAAGUCAUUUUGACACCUGAGCAACUCUCGGCAAAAAAGACAAAUCGGACCAAAACAGUACAUGAACAGUAAACAUUUUACGGACCCUCAAUUUGUCUUUUUUGCUGAGAGCUCCUCAGAUGUCCAAAUGAUUUGAAAAUUUGAGCGUACCUCACGCAUCAAAAUUUCUACCGCACAAUUUUUUUUUAAUUUUUUGGAACUUUUCUAGUAUUUGUUUUGUUUUUUUUCGUCAGCACGGGUGCAGAUAAGCUCGGGUGCAGAAUUGGAUUUUCGGUAUCUUCAGUCCUAUUUAUGGCUGAAUCAUAUACAUUUGCAGAGCCUCUUCUUGUUGGCCAUUAAUGACAAAGGGGAGGAGUUUUGGUAACUUCUACAUGGCCCUGUUUUUCUGCCAUGUUUCUAGCCAGGUUUCCCAUCCCCUCCCCCCCCCCGUCUAUUUUUCCUAUUAAUUUAUGAAUCCAUGUAAACUAUAAAAAAGUAGUAGCAUCUUUUGCUAAUUCAGGAACCUUUUCUAGAAAAAUUGUGAACAUUUUUCCUAAUUGAUUAACUUCUCAAACUUUGUACUUAUUAAAAUUAUAUGAUUUUUCAAAACUCAUGAAUAUAUUUAUUCGUUAAAAUUUUAAAAUUCUCCAAACAUUUUUAAGUUUCUAACUAGAUAGUCUUUGUUAAAAAUAAUUUUUUUGCUAAAUGAUAAAAAGGGGCGGGAAAACUUGGCAACAUUGCCAAAAAGAAAGCAUAAAGCAUUAGCACGAUAUAACAUGCAGCCACUAGAGAAUAGGUUGGAACAUUUGCGCGGGGUGUGUGUUUUGUGUUCUUGUACGCAGAGUGCUUAGGCCCACCUAGGUUCGAGUGAUAGGCAUGGCAUGAGUGCUCGCAUUAUUCUUGACUUAUUUUGGGCCUUCUGGCAAUGUGGGUUCAAUCAGAAAUGAUGUUCAUGUCAACUAUGAAGUUCCUGUGGCAAUCGUCAAUCUCAAAAUUUGCCGGCUCUGUAACUUAGAGGAGCUAACAUGGGUAGGAUGUGUAUCUAUCCAUUCAUAAGGGGGAGUGGACUUGCGUGUAUGAGAGCAUCUAGAUUUGUACUGUAAAUUCCAAAAUGAAAAAAAACAGAGAGCUAAGAAUAGGAGUACCAGAAUGUCAUGCACUGAAUCUAGUUUUGCUUAAUGUCAAUAACAGUAGGGACAUUUUUCCGGAUGAUUAUCUACAGACUUACUCAAAACUUUGUUAACUAAACAAAUUCCAUUCUUUUUUUUUUUGCGGAAAAAUAUUUUCCAUUCUGAAAGCAAGUCAUUGCCGGGGCCAAAUAAUAUGCUGAUAACUCUCUACAUAUGCGAUAAAUCAGGAAUUAUUGGAGAGACAAACUUCAUGGCAUACUCUCUCCUUUUUAUUAUUUAGUCCGCAUAUUAGGUUUUUCUAAAGUCAAACUUUAUAUACUUUCUAUGCACAAAAAAACUUUAUAUACUUUCAACAAAUUUGUAGAAAAAUAUAUUAACAUAUACACCAUCAAAUAUAUAUAAUUGGAUUCAUCAUUGCAUAAAUUUUCACAUUAUAUGAAUUUAUUACUAUAAAUGUUCAUAUUGUUUUCUACAAACUUGGUCAAAUUUUACAAAGUUUGACUUCAUCAGCUAACAUGCGGAGUAAAUAAAAACGGAGGGAGUACUUAGCACCAAGAAUACGAAUUUAACAUGAAAGGGUAUAAAAUUCUCAUACAAGAUAGAACUUGGCGAAGCACUAACCCGAUAGCCUGCAGGAACGCGAUACUGGUCAGAAUCCAAAAAUCGACCUUCUUCAGGUCAUCGACGAAGCCCCCGAGAAGGACCACGGUGGCCCACAAAAGCAUGAGGGCCCCGAUGGAUUUCAGGGCAAUUCGGACGUACGCUGCAAGGAGCGCAUACUUGUUGAUGAUCCUUACUUCUGGCCGUCGUUGAAGCUCUUCCAAGAAAGCUUCAAGCUCAUUUCCCGAGCCCUGCUGCUGCCGCUUCCCAUUCCGGUUUCCCGAUGCUGUGCCCCUACGCCAUACACCCCUACGCCAUAUACCGGUGGGCAUUUCCCUCCUGGAAUGGUAAUGGUGGCGGAGCGGCAGAUUUGUGGCUCCUCUUUCAGUUUGCUAGUGAAACAGUCUACUGGUUUCUCCUCUAGAACUCGUCUGGUGGCCAUGGUAGUUUAAGAGGGAGCUGUGAGGGGGAAAGGGGAUGGAUGUCAUGGGAAACCGCGUACGCACAUGCAGGCAACCAUACACAACUUCUCCUACUAAAAGACUAGAUAUUUUAGCCCCGCUGGGAAGCCUGCACGAUAUUUCACGUUGGGCUGGGAGCAGUUGAACGUUCGUCUAGCCCGAUUGCAUCUUGCAGCCACCGCGUGCAGCUCAGCAACGAUUUCCUGCAAGUUCUAGAUUAUACUGCUAUGCAGCGGUUUUCUCCUCGUUUUUAGUACUCGAUCGAAGCGGCUACGGUGCACACUCCCGUUGCUAACUGGUGUACGUUUGGCUCCGAGUAUUUGUUUCGGCGCGGGGUGGGGAUGAUUCGUGCGAGCUACGGUGCUGGCUUUAGUUACGUUUGGUGCUCGCAUCUCGCCGGGCGCACAGUAAGGAUUACAAAGGAGGCGACUGCUUAGAAUCGCUUGGCGGGUGGAUGAUUCCGGGGUAGUUUGGUAGUGGAGCUACUGUAUGUCGCAUGGAGUUCUUCUUCUUAUAGCUCUGUUGCUUCUCUUCCCUUGGGCCGCAGACUUGAUAAGUUUUCAUCCGAGGGAGAUGAUAAAACCUUCAGUUAAUCUCUCCUUGUAAUAAUUCUGCUGCAGCUACUUUCUGGCUGGAGUAGAGAGCUGUUAACAGUCUGGUGUGAUUGCCUUUGCUUUUUUAAUAAAAAGUUGGGGCAGGGGGGCAACCCCAAAAAAAAGGAGGCGACAUGUCUGACAGCAAUUCGACAAAUCAGGCGAGAGGAUCUCGAUCCAAAAAUACCAAGGGACAUUGAUGGCAUGCUCAGGAGACUGAAUCUUAGGUGAAAAACAGAUGAAGUUCUCUAUGCCAAAGAGCAAGAAGAUGGGCAAGAGGUUUUGCACUGAUGAAUCCUGUAAAGCAUGGUUAAUAAUAUAGCGAGCAAUCGGCUAUAAAGAGUUGCCAUGUCAUUUAGAGUCAACCUAAUAAUCGGCAUGUACAAUAGUAGCACUAUUCUAUUAAUGGUUGACUCAUUUUACAAUCUCACAAAGUGUCUUGGGUCUUGUGCUAUAGCCGGCUCUUAUUCUACAACACGCUUCUAUUCUCUCGUCUCCAACUAAACAAAGAUAAUCCCUCCAUCUAGGUGUAUAAGUCACCUUACAAAAAUAAAAUAAUCUCAAAACACUUACGCACGGUGCAUUAACUCACAUCUUGUUUCUUGUUUCUUGACAUAAAUAAAGGAAUCAACCAAUGAGAGAUGUGGGGCGUGUAUAUUUUUGAUGACUUGAGACUACCAAACACGACAUGCAGUGGUCAAUUCAUUGCAUGCAAUGUUAUUAAUUAGCAAAUAGACAUUAAGUUCUCUCAUUUUCCCUCUGUCUUGGUCAUGGUGCACAAUCUAAGAUGACUUAUUCACCUCGACGGAGGGAGUAUAACAUUAAAGUCUUUAUAACUUGCUUAUGUCACCUUAUUGUACUUGCUCUUAGCCACUCGUCUCUCUAUCAGACUCUAUGCAUUUUGAUGUUUGCAACAUGGCUUGUGAACCAAGGCUCUGUGUAAUAGCUAAGAGGGAACAGUGAGCUCUUUUUUUUUUGCGGAAAGAGGGAACAGUGAGCUGGAAAGGGUAUAUGCAUGCAUGUCAUGGGAAGCCGCGUGCUCAUGUACAAGCAACCUGCGGGAGUUCUAAUAAAAGAUUCCAGUUUAGAUAUAUGAAACCCGGUGGGAAGCUAGCAAGAUAUUUCGUGGUGGAGUGGGUGCAGUUGCAUUGGCAGCUGGGUCGCCCGUUCGUCUUGCCCGACUGCAUCUUAUUCUUAUGUUAUGUGUGGGGGCGUUGAAGCUGGUCAUCGGAGUUGAGGUCUUCUUCUUAUGUCUCCAAUGAGCGAUUAUGUGAACGGGGUUGAUCAUAGACCACUGGUUUGCCCACACCGUCCACCCUCUUCCACUUUCUUCAAACUCCCAACGUAGGAAGGCCCCAAUCCUCUUACCUGAUCGGUGCUCUGUAUACCUAAGACGUCAGCACUCCUACAAAUUCAUGACGUCAGUACACUCAUACUACUCCUACAACCUACAAUGUGUAGUGCUCACGACAAAACCAAAUACUACACCUACCAAAAGCGAAAGGUAGUUACACCUACCAAAAGCGAAAUGAUUCCUGAAACCAUGAGUAAUUUAAGUUGGAGAGAGGGAAAGAUGAGCCUGAAAAGGCCUUUCAAACCUGCUAUUCGCUGACGACGGCCUUUUAUUUUUUAAGGCGUCGGUCCAAGAGGCGGCUGCUGUUAAAGGGGCACUUGAGUGUUUUCAGAAAGGUUCUGGGCAGCUCCUAAGCCCCCAAAAGUGCUUGCUUUUCUUUAGUGAGGCAUGCCCGGAUGUUAUUCAGCAAGGAAUCAAAGAAAAACUAGGUGUUGUGGUGUCAACUUUUGAGAGUAAGUACCUAAGACUACCAACUCCAGAAGAAAGAAUGAAGGAGGGAAGAUUCCAGCCAAUUAUGGAGAGAUUUACCAAGAGAUGCUCGGACUGGAAUGAGAGAUACAAGUCACAAGCUGCAAAGGAUGUUCAUGUCAAAGGUGUGGCACAGAGCCUACCUACCUACCCCAUGGGUGUGUUUAAAAUGACUAAGGGGUUUUGUGAGAUGUACGAAAAGCUCAUCCGUGAUUUCUGGUGGGGCGAUGAAGAGGGUCAUCGAAAGGUCCACUGGAUGGCUUGGAAGGACAUGGUCAAACCAAAGAAGGGAGGAGGACUGGGCUUUAGAGAUAUGCACCUCUUCAACCAAUCCUUGCUAGCAAGGCAGGGGUGGAGAAUCAUUCAAAAACCGGAUAGCCUGUGCGCGCAGGUGCUGAAAUCUAAACGGCGAUAUUCUAGACACUGUGUUUGCAUCCGAUGCCUCCCCAUCAUGGAGAGGAAUUGAAUUUGGGCUUGAGCUCGUCAAAGAAGGACUCAUUUGGAGAAUCGGUGAUGGCAAGAAAAUAUUUUUUUCGCGAAUACGCAAAGCUUGCGUAUCUUUUCAUUGAUAGGUAGAAGAGAACAGAGUAACAAGAGGGGAGGAAGAGGGAUACAACACGGCACACACUCUCCUAGCCUAAAACUCCAGAAACAAGACCUAGAGCAGCAAAGCCGCGUCACGAACAAAGCCAGGCACCAGCAUCACACGGCCAUGCCAUCAGGACGGAGCAAAUCAACGUACCCCCCACCUUGAAGCGCCAAGAAGAGUCGGCAAGUCGGUUGCAGGAUCGGACCGGCCUGAGGAGGAAGCCAUGGAAGAAGCGCCGACGAUGUUGUACAUUGCGCCUCGGAUGUCCACAUCUUGAAAAGCAGCCCAAAACCAAGCGGGGUGUCCAACAUCACCAAUUUCAACACCGAAGACACCACGAGCAACCAAGACGACGCCUUCAUGAAGGGGGACGACAUCGGGACGCCGCCGCCGUCUGGUCUGGAGAACCGGACCAAGGGUUUCCCCCGGUGCUCGAAGGAGGACAGGUCGAAAGGCCAUGGCAACGCCUUCAAGAAGGAGGCGGCAUCCGCAGAUGUCGCCGCUGCCAGCACCGGCAAGCCGAGCAAGGAUUUCGUCCCGGCCUUUGACCGAAUCACCCCAAAUGCCGCCGGAUCAGGAAUCGAAGACAAGGAACCCAUGUAGCUGGCUGGAACCACCACGGCAGGGAGAGAUGCACCCAUCACCAGACAAGAAGGUGACUUGGGCGCCGCCGGAUGCACCACAAUCACCAACCAGCACCACCAACACAACACACUGCAGGCACCAGAUCCACCACUAACGCCAUGGUCCAGAACUGGGCGGGGAAAAGGAUGUGCCGCCGCCAGCAGCACCAAAGCCAGCCGAAGAGAAGGCAUGGCUGGACCGAGAGCCAUGGGGAGGAGCAGCCGGCAGGGGUAGGUCGUGGAGUUGGGAGGCGCUGGAGGAGGUGGAGCACGGGGAGAGACACGCCGCACCGGGCAGGCCGGCGAUGGCCCGGCCAAGAAGCCUCAAACACCAUCCUCCCGGGAUCCGGCGCCGGCAACAGCAAGGGUGCUGGAGGCCCCACGGAUCUGGCGCGGGAGAAGGUGGUUGGGGCGAGGACGCGCCAGCGUCAGCCGGAGCCCACAGGGAAGGGGGCGGUUGAGGGCCGGGGNNNNNNNNNNNNNNNNNNNNNNNNNNNNNNNNNNNNNNNNNNNNNNNNNNNNNNNNNNNNNNNNNNNNNNNNNNNNNNNNNNNNNNNNNNNNNNNNNNNNNNNNNNNNNNNNNNNNNNNNNNNNNNNNNNNNNNNNNNNNNNNNNNNNNNNNNNNNNNNNNNNNNNNNNNNNNNNNNNNNNNNNNNNNNNNNNNNNNNNNNNNNNNNNNNNNNNNNNNNNNNNNNNNNNNNNNNNNNNNNNNNNNNNNNNNNNNNNNNNNNNNNNNNNNNNNNNNNNNNNNNNNNNNNNNNNNNNNNNNNNNNNNNNNNNNNNNNNNNNNNNNNNNNNNNNNNNNNNNNNNNNNNNNNNNNNNNNNNNNNNNNNNNGAGGCGCCCCGCCGCCACCUUCCUGGGAGCCGGCGCGGCUUCGCCGGCCGCUCCCCUAGUGGCGGCGAGGAGGCGGGGUGGGGGCGGGAGGGGGCCGCGGCGGCGCGGGCUAGGGUUCCCCCGCCGCCGCCAGGGGAGGCGACGCGGGGGUCAGGGGAGAGGUGUGGAUGCUCGAGAUGGCAAGAAAAUAUGAAUAGAGAGGGAUAAUUGGAUCCCGAGACAAACUAGGUUAAGAGCGGCAAAGUUCACUAGAAGGUCCAAAAUCCAGUGGGUCAAUCAAUUGAUACACACGGACAGGAACGAGUGGAAUGUGGAUUUGGUGAAGCACAUGUUCCUGGCAUAUGAUGCUGAAGCCAUAUGUGCGAUAAAACCCCCAGCCCGGAAAACAGAGGACUGCAUAGCAUGGCAUGUGGAGAAGUCUGGUAUUUUUUAAGUUAAGAGUGCCUACAGGUUGGCUACCCAGAUUAAGGAGAAAAAGAAAACCCUCCAACCUCGAGCUCUUCUAAUGGAGCACAUGAUAGAAGCUUAUGGAAUCUAAUCUGGCAAGCUAAAGUACCACAAACGGUUAAGAUAGCCGGCUGGCGGAUCUCCAUUGAAUCGAUGGCUACAAGAGAAAAUAAGAUGCACCCAACCCUUGAGAAGAUGGCCACAUGCACCAUAUGUGGCAUGGAGGAUGAAUCGGAAUUUCAUGCGGUCAUUGCUUGCACUAAAGCGAGAGCACUCAGGGAUGAAAUUAGGAGAGUAUGGCAGCUGCCGCCGGAAAGAUGCUUCCGAAAUACUGGACAUGAUUGGCUCCUUUGUUUACUGUAUACCUGCAAGGAAACCAUGCGUUCCAGAGUUCUGCUAAUCAUUUGGAGAUCAUGGCAUCUUCGGAAUAACUGCGUNNNNNNNNNNGUCUCUGUCUCGGUCGAUUUCUUAUUAAAAUACGAGCAAGAGUUGAAGCCCUGCAUGGAGAUGGACAUGAUCUUCAAUGGGAAACAGUCUCCAUUCCCUGAUAAACUUAAAGGCGAACUGAAAGACAAAAAUUCUAACUGGGCAGCACCCUAAGACAACUGGUGGAAGAUGAAUACUGGUGCUGCGUUUAACCAAUUGGAUGGCAGCACGGCAGUUGAAUGGUUUUGUUUUUUGAGAACAUCAGCUUUAUUGAUCACAUAACCAAAGAUACAAGAGUCUCCCGGAUACAAUCCGGAGUAAAAUGAAAAAUAACUAGAUUAGACAAAUUCUUACAAGACUUAGCUAAUAGAUGGGCAGCCACAUUAACUUGCCGACGAACAUACUUGAACUCCGCAGAUACAAAGCCCCUUGAAGCAAACUUGAUAUCAUUGAUUACCGUACCAAUGCUGGAAUGAUCAAUUUUGCCGGAAAUAAUUCUAUUCACCAGCGAUUGGCAAUCUGAUGCAAAUAAAACAUUUGAAAAAUGUUCAUCCUUUGCCAGGUACACAACCCUUCGUAGAGCUAGCGCCUCAGCUAGUUCAGGUUCCAUCAUGCCUUGAAUAGGUUCAGAACAUGCGGCAACAAAUCUACCCUCAUGGUUCAAGGCCACCACUCCAGCACCUGACAUAUUUAUAUCUGAAAAGAUUGCAGCAUCCGAGUUGAUGGCAAUAACUCCAGGCAGCGGCGGAGUCCACAUUGGAUUGGGUGAAGAAGACUCACGCCUAAUGACAGGUAUUUGGAUAUAGAGAUGCUACAGAAUCAGAUCAGUGUAAGAACGGAUUUUCUCAACUGUAAUACGAGGAUGUGGAGCUUCUGACGAGUGUCGCGCAUCAUUUUGUGCUUCCCAUAAGUGCCAAAAAGAAACAGCCAGAACCGUGGCUUCUUUGUCAAAAGAUCUUGAGAGAAAAUCAAAAAGCCAAAGCUUGGUAUUCCUAAAAGAAGAGCGACGAAGCUGAAUGCCAGACCACUCCCUGAUCGCAUCCCAAACAGUUUUUGCACGCGGACAAAAAAGUGUGGCGUGCUCCACGCUUUCCAGUCGCCCACAAAAGCAACAACAGGAACAUGGCGGCGUUGCAAUUGAGCCCUAGAUGGAAGGCAAUCAUGAUCGAAACGCCAAAGUACGACCUUCAUUUUGUUGGGUGCUUUAAUAGACCAUAUCGCCUUCCAACUCUUCUCCUCAGCAGCCACAUUCGAGGAUUGUCCAGAACCACACUUGCUGCGAGUUUCAAGAAAACGCGCCCGAUCACACCAUAUUAUAUGCAGAUCGCACCGAAUAUUCACCAGACUUAGUGAGAGGCCAGCUUGCAAAAUCCACACCGCCAUGCCUGCUUAUUGGAAUGCGAAGAAUUUCUGCAGCAAUGCCAUCACAGAAAAAGGCCCUGACAUAAUCUUCAUUCCAUGUACUAGAUUCCUCAUCAAUCAAGCAUUUUACCUUGGCAUUAGCAGGUAUAGGCAGAAGAGGAUACAGUUGCUGUGGUGGAGUCGAAGGGGUUAGAGACCAAACUGGCAAAGUAGCCCUCUCGGGCUGUCGACAGAUUGCUGUUUGCACGGACGCAAAGGAAGCGGAAGCUAUGUGAGGGAGUCCCGGAUUAGGGGGUGUCCGGAUAGCCGAACUAUCACCUUCGGCCGGACUCCCGGACUAUGAAGAUACAAGAUUGAAGACUUCGUCCCGUGUCCGGAUGGGACUUUCCUUGGCGUGGAAGGCAAGCUUGGCGAUACGGAUAUGUAGAUCUCCUACCAUUGUAACGACUCUGUGUAACCCUAACCCUCUUCGGUGCCUAUAUAAACAGGAGGGUUUUAGUCCAUAGGACGAACAACAAUCAUACCAUAGGCUAGCUUCUAGGAUUUAACCUCUCUGAUCUCGUGGUAGAUCUACUCUUGUACUACCCAUAUCAUCGAUAUUAAUCAAGCAGGAGUAGGGUUUUACCUCCAUCGAGAGGGCCCGAACCUGGGUAAAAACAUCGUGUCCCUUGUCUCCUGUUACCAUCCGCCUAGACGCACAGUUCGGGAUCCCCUACCCGAGAUCCGCCGGUUUUGACACCGACAUUGGUGCUUUCAUUGAGAGUUCCUCUGUGCCGUCGCCAUCAGGAAGGAUGCCUCAUCCCAUCUUUAAAGACGGCACUGUUGCUAAAGGAGCUUUUGCCAUCGGCCAAACUCUCCGGCUAGGCGGUUUUCUUAUGACCGCAUGUUCGGCCGCCGCGCCGAUGAUGACUUCUCGGGUCAUCGAAAGCAAUCUUCACGUUAACUCGGAACUCGCCGAGCAGUUAGAUCCGAUGGAGCUCUUUUGCUUAAACGAGCUCUUGGAUCGCAUCGCCGCCCUCGGAGUCGCUACAGACUACGAUCAGAUUGGGCCUAAACCCGAUCUGAGAGAGAUCAACUCUCCCCAGGUUACCCACCACGUUGCUGUGGUAGAGGAACAAUACGGCGAUCCCUCUUCCAUCUUAAGGACUAGCUAUGCCCGGAUUCCGGACCCUCCAUGCCGGAUUCCCACGGAGGGGAGGACGUCACUCAAGCCCUGAACCUAAAGUCAGGCAGCGGGCUAGAUUCAUUGGACAACAUCCAAGAACCCAAGCUUCCAAGUUCGGAAACUUUUUGGCCCCUGAGUCUUAGAUCGGACGGGGUUCCGAAUUCAAUUCCGCCCGCCCACCCAAACAUAAGCGAUCUAUCCCAAAUCCGGCAAGAGCCCGCAGAAACAGUACACCAUUACUGAGCCAGAUUCCUCCUGGUCAUGAACAGGAUAAAGGAUUGCCGCGAGGAGGACACAAUUUCAUUCUUCUGCAAUAAUUGCACGGACAAGGGAAUCCUCAACUCCGUAAGUCGUCGUGAAAUUACACGCUUCACUGACUUGGCGUCCAUAGUACGAAAGUACUGUGCGAUGGAAAGCGCCUGGAAAACCGAAAUUAAAUUUUGGGACAAUCCGGCCCCGAAUACAACCCCAGUCCGAAAUAAAAGGGUGCAUCAUCGCCAGGCACCUGGGUUAAAUACCAAAAAAAAACCUCUAUAGGGCAUGGAACCGUACUGGAAAGAUGGCUCAAUGGACCCUGCAAAAUUCUUAGUACAGAGGGCGUCACUCCAACUCAUAGCCUUAGAGCAUGUUGGAUACUACGGCAAGUGGCCAAAAGUGGCGAAGAGCUUCUAACUCCAGAGCACCAGCCCAGGGAUACCAGUACAGUAUUAACAGUCUUCGAGACCUUCGCAUCAAACAAUAUGCGAAAACGAACACUCCGCAGCCUUGCCGAAGUCUACCAAGUAGCAACAAUAAACCCAUGGAGUAACACGGCUAUUACCUUUAAUGCCAGUGAUGAACCUAAAUUCCGAACAGCCCGAGCACCAGCUGCAUUGGUUCAUAGUCCAAUAGUAGAUGGCUUUCGCCUUACUAAGGUACUCAUGGACGGCGGCAGCAGAUUGAACCUCAUUUACAAGGAAACCCUCCGAAAAAUGGAAAUAGACUGGAGCCGCAUUGAGCGAAGCAGCACAACCUUUAGAGGAAUAAUCCCUAGUCAGGAAGCAUGUUGCACAGGAAAAAUCACACUGGAUGUGGUGUUCGGCACGCCGGAUAAUUACAGGUCCAAGGAGGUCACGUUCCAAGUGGCCCCGUUCAGCAGCGGAUAACACGCUCUACUAGGGCGAGAGGCAUUCACAAUUUUUCAAGCUAUACCCCAUUACGGGUACAUGAAGCUCAAAAUGCCCGGACCCAACGGAAUCAUCACUCUUGCUAGUGACCCGGACAUAGCACUCCGCGCCGAAAAUAAGAUAGCCGCACUGGCCCUUGAGGCACUAUCCGAAGCCCUAGCGGCCGAGGAACUCACUGCGCUGCGCUCCAUGGUGAAUAGGGACGACGUGAUACUCGAUAAGAGAUCCAAGUCCACUUCCUUUAAACCGGCAGACGAAAUAGUCAAAUUCCAAGUCCAUCCAACGGACCCUACAAAAAUGGCCUCCAUCGGGGCACAAUUAAAACCUGAUGUAGACGCCGCACUAAGAGAAUUCCUACGCGAAAAUUGGGACAUUUUUGCCUGGCACCCUUCAGACAUGCCAGGGAUCCCACGCCGGUUGGCCGAGCACAGCCUAAACAUCCUAAAAGGAUUCAAGCCAGUCAAACAGGCUCUUCGACGUUUUUCCGAACCCAAGAGACAGGCCAUGGGAGAGGAGCUAGCCAAACUAUUGGAGGCUGGAUUCAUCAGGGAUAUAAAACAUCUGUACUGGCUAGCAAACCUGGUGAUGGUACCAAAGAAGGACAAAUCCUAGCGCCUAUGCGUCGAUUUUAAGGACCUUAACAAGGCUUGCCCAAAGGAUCCCUUCCCCCUCCCCCGCAUCGAUCAAAUUAUCGACGCUACCGCAGGACACGAUUCAUUGUGCUUCCUCGACGCAUACUCCGGUUACCACCAAAUUAAGAUGGCAGAGCCCGAUCAAGCCGCAAUGGCAUUCAUCACUCCAUACGGCCCAUUAUGCUUCAACAAAAUGCCCUUCGGGCUCAAAAACGCCGGCGCAACAUAUCCGCGCAUGAUUCAGACAUGUCUGGCAAACCAGAUCGGCAAAACAGUGGAGGCAUACGUAGACGAUGUGGUCGUCAAAUCCAAGCAUGUCGAAACUCUAGUAGACGACUUGAGGCUCACAUUCGAUAAUCUCCGAACAUAUGACAUUAAGCUCAAUCUGGAAAAAUGCGUUUUCGGCGUACCAGCUGGAAAGCUCUUGGGCUUCACUGUAUCCGGUAGAGGAAUUGAAGCAAACCUAGCCAAGAUCCGAGCUCUGUCACAAUUGAAUAUCCCGAAAGACCUCAAACAAAUACAAAAAUUGACUGGAUGCGUGGCCGCUCUAAGCCGCUUUAUCUCCCGUUUGGGAGAAAAGGCAUUACCCCUUUAUCGCCUCCUCCGACGCACCGAACACUUCGAGUGGACGGAUGCAGCCACAGCCGGACUUGAAGAAAUAAAAGCCAUAUUGGCAACAAACCCGGUCCUGGCCGCGCCCAACAUGGGCGAACCAAUGCUAUUAUAUAUCGCGACAACUCAUCAAGUUGUAAGCGCGGUGCUCGUUGUCGAACGAGAAACGGAUGGACACAAGUUCCCCCUUCAAAAACCAGUUUACUACGUGUCCACUAUCCUAACUCCAUGCAAGUCACGGUAUCCGCAAUAUCAAAAGAUAGCGUACGCGGUGUUCAUGGCAUCCCGGAAGCUGCGACACUACUUUCAAGAGUGUUCGAUAACAGUAGCCUCCGAAGUACCUCUUAACGACAUUAUAAACAACCACGACACGACGGGCCGGAUUGCCAAAUGGGCCAUUGAGCUCCUCCCAUUCGACAUAACCUAUAAGCCACGGCGAGCUAUUAAGUCGCAAGUUUUGGCCGACUUCGUCGCCGAAUGGACUGAAUCCGAACUCCCUAAAGAGUACGGGGCAUAUUCCAACUGGAUCAUGCACUUCGACGGCUCCAAAAUGUUGGCUAGCCUGGGGGCUGGCGUCGUUCUGACAUCCCCAACCGGAGAUACAGUUCAAUAUGUACUCCAGAUAAUGUAUACGGACUCCAACAACGCAGCCGAAUACGAGGCCCUUCUACAAGGCCUCCGAAUGGCAAUCUCCAUGGGCAUUCAACGCCUAGAGGUGGGCGGGGAUUCGAACCUCGCGAUAUCCCAAAUAAAUGGAGACUUUGAUGCCAAGGAUCUGAAAAUGGCAGCUUAUCGCAACGCCGUCCUAAAAAUGUCAGCUCGGUUUGAAGGGCUCGAAUUUCACCAUAUAGCCCGGGAUAACAACCAGGCAGCAGACAUAUUGGCACGCAUUGGCGCAAAGCGCGAUGCCGUCCCCCCCAACAUCUUUCUAGAGAGGCUGUUCAAGCCAUCCGUACUAUGGGAGGGGGAGUCCGGAAAUAAUAACCCGGACCCAACUGCACUGCACGACACCGAACAUUCUAAAACAAUCGGUGGUUCUGCCAACGAAGUAACAUCUUCAGCCCACGUAAUAAUGGCAGUCAUUGCCCCGUGGACGGAGCCAUUCCUAGCCUACCUAACCAGGCAGAAACUUCCCGAGGGCCAAAACGAGGCCCGCUGCAUAGUGCGGCGAUCUAAAGCCUAUAAGGUCCAUGAGGGAGAGCUUUAUAAGAAAAGCACAACUGGAGUCCUUCAAAGGUGUAUCUCCGAAGAGGAAGGGCAAAAUCUUCUGGCUGAAAUUCAUGCCGGACUCGGUGGGCACCACGCCGCAGCCCGGGCCCUUGUAGGCAAGGCCUUCCGUACAAGAUUUUAUUGGCCGACGGCCCGAGCAGAUGCUCAGGACUUAGUCCAACGAUGCAUCAGUUGCCAGCUCUUUGCUAAUCAAAGCCACAUGCCACCCACUGCCCUCAAAACUAUACCCAUCACCUGGCCGUUCGCGGUCUGGGGGCUUGACAUGGUUGGACCCCUUAAAGGAGGAACCCACAAGCAAAAAUACCUAUUGGUCAUGGUGGAUAAAUUCACCAAAUGGAUAGAGGCCAAGCCUGUUAAGACGGCCGAAUCCGGACCGGUGAUAGAGUUCAUAUCAGGGGUAGUACACCGUUACGGCGUCCCCCACAGCAUCAUCACUGAUAACGGCACGAACUUCACGGCCGACGAGGUCAAACUCUGGUGCAAAAACAUGGGCAUCAAGCUCGACUACGCUUCAGUCUAUCACCCUCAAACUAACGGUCAAGUCCAGCGAGAAAAUGGUCUAAUCAUGAGCGGCAUUAAACCCAGACUAGUGCGGUCCCUCAAGGAAUCUAACACCCACUGGGUAGAGGAGCUCGACCCCGUACUCUGGGGGCUGCGGACCAUGCCAAAUCGCACUACCGGAUUCACACCAUUCUUUAUGGUAUACGGUGCAGAGGCAGUUCUGCCCUGCGACAUAAUUCAUGACUCACCUCGCGUGCGCAUGUAUGAAGAAAGAGAAGCCGAGCUUGAUCGACAGGACAGUUUGGACGCCUUGGAGGAGGAGCGCGACGUGGUAAAAGCUCGUUCCGCAUUCUAUCAACAGCAGGCUCGAAGAUAUCAAAGCAGGGAAGUACGGGCCAAAACUUAAAAUGUUGGCGAAUUAGUUAUACGCUUGCCGGACAAGAAAAAGGACAAACUCAAGCCCAAAUGGGAAGGUCCCUUCAUCAUCGACCAAGUCCUGACCGGCGGAGCAUACCGUUUGCGAAAUGCAUCGGAUAACCGACUCGAGCCGAACCCAUGGAACAUAGCCCGUCUCCGAAGAUUCUACGCCUAGCGCCGGAUUGUGAGUUCGUCUCCCUCUUCCGUCUAUAUUUUAUGCAUUAGGUGUCUUUUAUUUCUCUCCUUCUCCCUCCUUUUCUUGCGGCCUUUGAAGGCUCGUUUGUGCAUUGUUUGCACACACUUGACGCGCUAUCCACGCUCAUUAUACCUGGGGGCUCCUUUAACAGAAGCUUAUUUACACGGGCUUCAUGCCCAACACAUGUGUCACACUUCCGCAUGUACCUUUUAUUCACCAUUAUAUGCAUCGAUAUGACUUAAGUUUUGGCCAAGCUGGGUUGCCUGGCUCCUGUGCUUACCCCUAUGUUCCCGAUUGUUCGGCUAGGUGGUAAAGGGAGCACCUCUGCGAUUGUUACUGCCGGGUCAGCCGGAUGUGUACCUCAGACUGGGUGAAGCCGAAAGCUAGCAUUCUUAAGGGAAUAUUCGGUCGGUGAACUAAAAUACGAUUUCUUACCUACUUAUUUAUCAGCCCCCAGAUGUUUUUCUGCUUUUUUCGCAGCCCGGACAUGCACUUUAGGGCAUGCCUCCCAGGGAAAGGAACCCCUAACGGAACUAUUCUCCCUGGAAGAUGUUUCUUACUAACCAUGUAAUAUAACAUAACUAGUUGGGCACUUGUCUGACAAAGCACUAAUGACCCCUACGCCUGGUCUCCAUGCAUGCCCCGGUUUUUAUAUAACCCCGAGGGUAUUCGGACACACUCCGGACUAUUGGGUCCCGAGGUUGAAGCGAAAGGGUCCGCUAUGAUCCGGCUAGAAGGCAUUUUACAUGUCAUCUUAAAUUACAUAGUCAACUUAACUAAUUGUAUUCCUCUUCAAUGCCAUCCAAUAGGCUGUCUUCACCAUGGCCCAGGCCUCCCUGGCGCCUUGACGGCAGGCCGAUAUCUUCCAUAGUCGGAAGCGCCGCCGUGCUCCCUGAAGCCUCUCUGCAAGCUCUCCAAGGCCUUCGGGCAGGGAGAUAGAUGGCCACAAGGCCUGGGCGACGCCUUUCAUCACCUGCCGAACUCGUUCGUGCAGUUGCAAUAGCUCGGGAAGAAUGUCACCCGUAGAACCGGGCAUUUCCUCUGCAGGACGACCUGUGAGCAUACCUACAGACAUAACUCUGUUAGUCGACUUCCUCGCCGAACUCUUUUUCAAAGUUCGCUCAAGCACUUACUAAAAAUGCCGCGUCGAAGCCACCGGUUCUCCUUGACGGAGUCAGACAGCUGGGCACGAACAUCCUUUAGUUCCUCACCCAGCUGGGUGUUGGCAUCUUGGAGAUUAUUUUUCUCUUGCCUCACCCUUGUAAGCACAUUCUCGCCGGCCUUUAACCGGCACAAGAGCUGUUGCUUGUCCGGAUCUAUCCCGGCGCCAUCUGCAAUGUUAUUGUCAGACUUAUACACACGCCGCACUUCACAAACUACUUAUCUUUUGAAGCAUAUAUUACCAGAGUGGGUCUCUUUGGCUUCCCCUGUCACGGCUAGUGCGGCCUCAAGUUGGGCUUUGCACUCUUCAAGCUCCUGGGACAGUCGGGCAUUCUUUUCUGUAAGAUCCUGCAUAACAAAUGAUCCUUAAAUCAGUUAUUCUUAUCUAUUUUAAGUCUCGGGGGCUACUGGCAUAUAUAACUGUCAAAUUUCCUCACCCGUAUGUCUUUUACAUACUGCUCCGUGGCUCUGGCUAGACCAUCUUGAGCGGCACGGAGGUGCGCAUCUCCCGAAUUGAAGGCAUUCAAUGCCUCUUGGGAGAAACAUGUGUCACGAAGAACUGUCCGGCGGCACCUGUGAUUCAUGGCACUCUCCACCUCGGAGUUGGUGGCGGACAAUCUGUCGGCAUCCUCUGUCGGAGGAGCAUCCGACGCACGCCUCGUGUUCGCCUUCGCUUCUGGACCUGGCUUUGGAGCCUGGCUGGCGGAGGCUCGAUUGGCAACCUCUCCGGACACAGUCCGGCGAGCGCUCUUUUUCCUGAAGAGAGCACAAACGUUAGUAUGCCUUCCAGGAAUCAAACCUGGGAAUAUGGUGGCACGCCAUACCGUUACGGCGGCAUUUCGAUCCGGACCACACUUCUUUUUAGCCUGCUGGGUCGUGCUGUCCCUUGUUGGCUAGCCGCCGUGGGCUUGGCCUUCCGCCUCAAAGGCACCCCCUACAAAACACCAUUGGUAUACGGUGAUAAAAAAUGAGCACGGAUGGGUCAUUAUCAAAGUAUUGGGACUUCGGUCUCAGUUACUUGUGAGGCUGGAAGUAUUCCGGGGUAAUCGGCCGUAAUGGCGACCAAGGCAUUAUCGAUGCUCAGUUGGUGAAAUACCCCAUCAAUCAGCUCCACCGAUAUGUCCAGAUCCUCUUGGGAGGCCGGAUCGAGGGACCUUUCUGGAUCCUCGGGUUGUGGAGGCGGGCUGUUUAUAUCUUUUACGGCCCGGCGCAGUUCCUGCAUCGAAAUCACAAAAUAAGAUACUUGACCAUGGGAAUAUGGAUCGGAUGGGCAAAAAAAUGUCCGCUUACCCAUCUUGGAGGAUUGUUCAUAGAAAAUCUGUCCAAUGGAUUGACGCAGAGAAAUUCCUCCUCUUCUCCCUUGUACAAUGCGGACAAGAUCUUCAUCAGAUCGGCGACCGAUCCCGGCCCCUUACGGCCAUGACGGGAGGCAUCAUCCUCCCCGUUGAAAUCCCACAUGGGGUGGCCUCUAUACUGGAGCGGCUGCACCCCCCGCAUAAUGCAUGUGGCCAUGACCACGAUCAUGGUCAGUCCGGAAUGAGCUAACAACCUUAUUCGGCUCAUCAGGUAAAGGACGUCCCUAUCAUUUUCCCUCUGAGGGCUCCGCGAACGCCAACUUAGGCGUUUCUUCAAGGGAGCAUUACUGAACUCCGGGAGACCGAUCCGAACAGGGUCCGGCAGGGGGACGUCUUCUAUAUAAAACCAUUCCGAAGGCCAGUCUUCGGACGCCUACUUCGGGGUUCCGGAUAGAUAUCCGGUCCCAGCGAUGCGCCAUAGUUCGGCUCGGGCCACUUGAUAUAUUGACCCCUCCUGAGGACGGGGUACGAGGCAGAACAACCUCUUCCACAGCGCAAAAUGAGCCUCGAUGCCCAAAAACAGCUCACAAAGGGCCACGAAGCCCGCAGUAUGCAAAAUGGAGGCAGGCGUAAGGUUGUGCAAUUGGAGGCCGUAGAACUCGAGGAGCCCCCGGAGAAACGGAUGAAUUGGAAAUCCGAGCCCUCUUAUCAGAUAAGGGACAAAGCAUACCUGCUCUCCUUUGUAGGGAUCGGGGACGCUCUCCGCUUGCUUUCCGCCCUUAUAGGUGGCAAGUCCGGCUCGAACCGGAACCAUGAAGGCUGGGGGAAGAAAUCCCUUGGUUUGGAGCGUCACUAGCUCGCUAUGCGGGACGGAUCAUCUCUCCCAAUCUCCAGGCUGAGGGCUGGGAGCGUGAGAGGAGGAGCCGUGUCGACUGUCCAUGAUGGAAUGGAUUUUUGUCAGAGGCGCUCCGAUGAAUGCUCGCGGAGGGAGGAUGAUGUGAUUCAGAUCUAGAUCCUCGUCUCUUUUAUAGGCAGCUCAUUUGCGCAGCUAGGGGGGUAAAUGUAAAAAUACCCUGGCUUUUCGCAUUCAUUCAACACGUGGAAGAUGGCCAUUAUUGGGCAUGGAAGCCGAGGAGCGCGAUAUUUACGAGAAGCCGGACACUAUUCAACAGGUACAUAGGAUUUGGAGAAGAACCUGCCUUGCAAUGCCGAAGACAAUCUAUGCGCCGGACUCGUUGUCAUUGAAGCCUGGUUCAGGGGCUACUGAGGGAGUCCCGGAUUAGGGGGUGUCCAGAUAGCCGAACUAUCACCUUCGGUCGGACUCCCGGACUAUGAAGAUACAAGAUUGAAGACUUCGUCCCGUGUCCGGAUGGCACUUUCCUUGGCGUGGAAGGCAAGCUUGGCGAUACGGAUAUGUAGAUCUCCUACCAUUGUAACCGACUCUGUGUAACCCUAAACCUCUUCGGUGCCUAUAUAAACUGGAGGGUUUUAGUCCGUAGGACGAACAACAAUCAUACCAUAGGCUAGCUUCUAGGGUUUAGCCUCUCUGAUCUCGUGGUAGAUCUACUCUUGUACUACCCAUAUCAUCGACAUUAAUCAAGCAGGAGUAGGGUUUUACCUCCAUCGAGAGGGCCCGAACCUGGGUAAAAACAUCGUGUCCCUUGUCUCCUAUUACCAUCCGCCUAGACGCACAGUUCGGGACUCCCUACCCGAGAUCCGCCGGUUUUGACACCGACACUAUGGAUGUAAAACAUGGUCUCCAAGACCUGCUCGUCAGAUUCAGAGGGAAAAUAAUCAUUGAAAAUGACUGUGCUACCCUAGCGGAUCGUCUGAAUCCGAGUUUACAGAAUAAAUCCUAUAUCCGUCAUGUUAUCAUGGAUAUUAAAGAUUCACUGUGUUGGGAAUUAGCACACAAAUGCACUUGUGGUUAACUGAAAACUGCAGCAGAAACAAGUAAUCUCAGCACCACAUCAUGUACUAAUUCAAGGAUCAUUGCUUAGUACGGAAGGGAACAUAUGCAGCAGCAUAUAUGGAGGCAGAAAAUGUUACUCAGCAGGCAAGACACUCCUCAGCCUAGUGCCUUGUGGUAGGAGUAAGUUUUCCUGACAGCAUCAAGCAUCAACAAAGAGACACCAGAUUUUUACGUGGAAAACCCCCCAAUUUGAGGGAAAAAACCAUGGGCCGAAGCCACCCAAAUCCUCUUCCACUAUUAUCAAAUGUGGGAUACAACAAGUUCUUCUCUAGACAGCACUAGAGGAUCUCAUACAUCAAGAUUUCUGAAUCUUGGAUGAACACAACAAGAUUUGGGGCUCAAGCAUUAGGGAUUGGAACAAUAUCACCAAAGAUGGUGGAACCGAAGCUUGAAGGAGACAAGGUAGUGGAUCUGGACCAUCACAACCUUGGGGAGGAGCUCCCUUGCUUCUUCCUUCAAUCUUCCUCUUCUUCCCUUGCUCUCUUGGUUUCUCUCUUCUUCUCUCUUGGAGGAUGAACUGAUUUUCGUCACUCUUGGUGGUGGCUGCUGGAUGGAGGCACUACAGGAAUCAGCUAAUUUGCCGUCUGGUAAAUACAGACGGCAAAGAGCGAAAUACAGACGGCAAAGAAUUUGCCGUCAGCCGGCUGACGGCAAACAUAGACGGCAAAGAGAAAGUCGGCAAAGAUUACUUUGCCGUCAGCUUUUUAUCGGGCAAAUGGCAAAGAUUUUGCCGUCAGCCAACUGCAAAUUUGCCGUCUCCCGCAAAAAUGACAGACAGCAAAGCAAGCGGUCUUUGCCGUCAGCCAAAAAUGUUCUUUGCCGUCAUUCGGACUAAACUACAGACGGCAAAGAUUGUUUUUCAACUUUUUUUUAAAAAAUGACGUCGGUGCAGAGCAUCUCGCUUGAAGGUUAGGCUCACCAAGAAAGGGGAAUGGCACGGCCGGACACAUGAACAUCAACAAGACAUGAAAGUUUGCUGCCUUACAUUCUGGAGUUAUACAAAAAUUACAAAGUUGUUCUAAAAAUUUACACAAAGGACCCUAGAAAGGAAAACUGAAAAGCCAUCAAGUCCUUCUCCACCGCAACAACAGCUACUUCACCGCCGGCAGUCCUUCUCACCGGAGACAAAACAAUAGGACUCCACUUUCGCCAGCCUGCCCUGCUCGCCGCGCCGCUACCUCGACCCUACUCGUCGCGCCACCACACAGCCGCGUUCCCCCGCGCCGGGAGGCUGACGCCGAAGGAAGGAGCUCCUCCGCAGUGGCCAUCGCCGGGCCAUCGACGCGCUGCGUCGGAUAGCCGAUGCCUGAGGGGAGAGCCGCCGUGCGCCCGCGCUGAGUAGUCGACGGUGGAGAGAGCAGCCGCCGCGCGCCGUGCUCGCCGGCCACCAUGCUUGCCGCCCGCGCUUCCCCGCUGCUCACGCAGCCACCAUGCUAGCCGCCCGCCAGGCUGGCCGCCCGAGCGUCCGCCAGGGUCGCAGCCCGCGUCCAAACUCUGCUUGCCGCAUGGCCACCAUGCUCGCCGGUCACCGCCCGCGCUGGCUGUGGAUGCGUGUGGUGUGUGGUGUGCGUGAGUGCGUCGGUGCGUGGGUGUGUGGUGUGCGUGGGUGAGUGGAUGGGGUGGGGUGUGUGUU
rnacentral:lncRNA from 1 species